rnacentral:lncRNA from 1 species
GCUGAUGGACGACGCGAUGGUGUAGCCGAUGGCGACGCCGACGAGGUUGGCGUACUGGAUGCAGCCACAGAAGGCGACCCUGGCGCCGCCGAGGUUGGACCGGACGGCGUCCAUGUAGGUGUAGUUGCGCUUGCCCGUGUCCGGGUCGCCGGUGCGGUAGCACUCCGCGAGCAGCGUGGCGGUGUAGUAGGUGACGAAGGCGAAGAGCAGCAUGGCGGCGGGGCCGGCCACCCAGCCGAGCUGCGCGAUGGCCCAGGCCAGGGAGAGCACGCCGGAGCCGAUCACGGCGGUGAUGAUGUGCGCGCUCGCCGUCCAGAACGUGCCGGUGCGGCGUGGCCGCCCGUCGUCGUCGAGAUACUCGGCCGCGUCGCCGUUCCCGGCCUCCAUGGAGACCUCCAUCGGCGGUAGGUGCUUGGUGGUGCCGCCGUUGUGCGACGCCAUCGCCAUGUGGGUACGGUCGUCUACAACUGGGAGCUCGCUGGAGCAGAGGAGACCGGCGGCCGGACACAGAGGAGAAGAAGGAGAGCAGCCGUGCGGAGAGGGGGAUGGAUGGGCUGCUCUGCUCGGUUGUUGUUGGUGAGCGGUGGUGGUGGAGUGUGAUGGCAGAAGGGGGGAGUGAGGUGGUGUCGUUAUAUAUAGCGGCCGGAGACGGAGAGCAUCUGACGGGCGGGCGGUGGAGGUGGAGGAGACGGUCGUGAUGGCCGCAGGCAGGCAGGUCCGGUCAACGCGCGGCGCCGGGGCGGGUGCUAGCUAGACGUAUCUCUCCUGUUUCGUGUCAGCUUUGUUUUGAUUCGUUUCGAGCAGCAGGGAAAAUAAAUAAAAAAAAUACGUGUUUAAUUAGGGACGUCAUUUCUUCUGACUCCCUCCGUCUCCAAAAGAGUGUCGUUUUAAGUUUUUGUGCCACAAGUUUGAAUCGAUUUGUAAAAAAUACAUGCAAUAUUUGUAUCUCUAAAUAAUUUUGUUAAAAAACUAGACUUAAAGAUUUUUCCGAUGAUACUAAUUAUGUAAUAUAAAUAUUAAUAUUUUUAUUAUAUAUUUAGUUAAAGUUAUUUCUCGGAAAGCGAAACGACACUUAUUUUGGAACGGAGGGAGUACUCUACUGUCUUUCAAUUAAAUUAAUCUCCUGUAGGCGCCCUGGCCCCUCAAGUUCUCUAAAAAAAAAUAUAGAGACGCCGUUCUGCUACUACGGCCUGCGGACUGCUAGAGAAAGAUAUUUAGGCUUUAUUUAGUUUUAAAAAUUUUAAAUUUUUUUAUCGCGCAAAUAUUUAAUAGAUAUAAAUGAAAAAAUAACUAAUUACUUAGUUUGUCUAUAAUUUAUAGAAUAAAUUUUUAAAUCUCAUGGUCUAUAAUUAAAUAAAAAUUACUAAAUACAAAUAAAAUUAUUACAGUAGUCUAACUAAGGCCUUGUUUAGAUUCAAAAACUUUUUGGAUUUUGACACUGUAGCAUUUCGUUUUUAUUUGACAAAUAUUAUCCAAUCAUAGAGCAACUAGGCUUAAAAGAUUCGUCUCGUGAUUUACAAGUAAACUGUGCAAUUAAUUAUCUUUUUUUUAUUUAUAUUUAAUGUUUUAUACAUGUGCCGCAAAAUUCGAUGUGAUGGAAAAUCUUGUAAAAUUUUGGGUUUUUAGGUGUAUCUAAACCAGGCCUAAAAAAAUCGCAAAUUAAAUAAGCCUGAUAGAUGCCGCCGGGCCCGGAGAGAGCCAAGACAAACGCUCGUGAGCGUGUGAGGUGUACGUGACGACAGUAGCGAAAUCGGAUGCGUGUUUAUUAUUAUAUGGUAAAUAAAUGUAGCAGCACAUAAGACCGGAUUGGGUUCAAUCCUAAAAACAAAAAACUUUUUAAUUUUUUUUUUUUCAUAUCUAAUCUUGUAGCACAUACAUGAAACACUAAAUAUAGACGAAAAUAAAAACUAAUUACACAGUUUACCUAUAAAUCACGAGAUAAUCUUUUGAGUCUAGUUAAUCUAUGUUUAGACAAUAAUUACCAAAUAAAAACAAAAAUACUACAAUACCAAAAACUAAAAAAAAUUCAGAACUAAACAAGACCUUAAUGCCGCGUUCCACAAUUAUGUGCUCCUAAAAAUACUUUCAUAUACUAGCGUUCUACGGUUAGGUGCUGGUAAAAAUACUCCUACCGAAUUAGGAGUACUUAUUGCCAGCCUCGAUGACAUAGCUACCAUGGUACACACAAAGUUGCAGUGGAUCUAGGUUUGAUGGUAGAAGGAAGUAGGAUAAAACUAAAACAAGCUUAUCCGAUCCUAAAAAAUUACCGUUCUACUACCUCCGUCUUAUAAUAUAAUGUAUUUUAGAAAUUUAAGUUAAAUUAAUAAAGAACAUGUAUCUUCAUUUUGUUUUCUAAUCAGACACUAUUGAUGGUGAUUGCUUCAUAAAUAGAAAGUAGUUAGUGCAAAACUGAGUUUGUUCUCUAGAAUGCACAAUUUCUGAAUGCUAGAAUGCCCUAUGUUACAAGAAGGAAUACUAGUUACAACCUACUUAAAUUUAUUAUCUAAUAAUAGUUAGUUGGCUAAUACCUCAUUAUUUGAUUUGGUCUAACUAGUGGGAUACUUCUUUCAUCCUGGAAUAGAGUACAUUAGCGUUUGAGAUGUGUCUUAAAUAUAGUGCAUUCAGGAAACAUGAAGAUAUCGUUUACUUAAAUAAAAAUACGUGAUCUACUGCUUCCUUUUUCAUUUAUUCUCUCUUCUACUUAGAUAAUGAAAGUAAUUCAGUGCUUACCAUAUUUUUUAUAAGAAAACAUAGAUUCUACUCUUUAAUCAUGCAAAAUAGGAUUAGAUUACAGUAGAUUAGAAAGUUAAGUAAGGGAUACAUACUAUAUUCCAGGACCGAGGGAGUAGUUAUCUAAAGGUCCAACUAACAAUUAGCUAGUCCAUUAUCUAUAUCAGUUUGGAUAAAACAAAUAGUUAUUAGCAGAUACUCUCACCAUUCCUAUUGAGAAGUAAAAUAUUCCAAACUUUGACCAAAAUAUGUAUACAAGAAAAUACUAAUAUUUGUAGUACAUAAUUAGUGUUAAAUUUAGAUAGAUUGUUGAAUCUAUUUUCAUAAUAAACUUAUUUGGAGAUAUAAGGUCCUCUUUGAAUCCCUCUGAUUUUUGUUAGCUUUUAAGAAUCUAGUUUUUGGAAACUGGGUGCUACCACCAAGUUUUUGUUGUUAGUUUUUGCUAAAUUCUUAAAAACUAGGAAGUUGUUGAUACCUAGCUUUUAUCAGUUGUUUGUGACCCAUAAAGUAAUAUAAAUGAAGUUAGAUUCUUAAAAACUAGAGAUCCGAACACCCUCAUUAGUUUUUGCUUAGAAUCUAGAUUUUCAAAACUAGAUGCCAAAACUAGUUUUUAAGGGAUCCAAACAUGGCCUUUGCUCAGCAUAUCUUAUGUGAGUUUCCAAUGCAAGUUUGCAUACAACACCCUAUGUUUACCAAUCUUUAUGCUAGUUUCCAAAAUAUGAAGGUAGUGAUACCUCUAUUUAUUAGAUGACAUUUCACAAUUAAAAAAUGAGUUCUCAUAUAAGAGCAUGACUAAUAAUAUAGCUAGCUGCUAGCUCUAAGGUUUCUUUGUAGUCUUUUCGUAGCCCACACAUAUAGUGGUUAACUUAUCCACUAAUACAUGAUUCACUUGUCCCUUUUACAAACUUCCUUGGAUCUUGUCCGGCUGUAAACUUACAACCCGCUUCUACUCUUUCUCCUCUCCUCUUUCCUCUGCCUCAACAUUUAGCCGGCUUACAACCCAUUAUUAUACUUACUCUAAGUCUCUAAGUAGGGUUAUGACUAGUUCAGACCAUAUCCGAGACCGAAUCCACUUAGAGGACUUUAGAUUUGUCCGUAACAAAGUCCAGAUAUUCAACAUCCGACAACAUAUCCGUAUCCAAAUACUUAAAUCGCAUAUUUAUGAUAUCGAUAUUCAUUCGUAUCCUAUCUGACAUAUGUGAUGCUAUCUAUAUUCGAAUCCGAAUAAAAAUACAAAAAUAAUUGUAAUAUCAAUAAUAUAUACCGUAUCUGAUCCAUUUGCAUCCCUACAUAUAAGAAUUGACAGAGUUAAUUCUUAAUUGUACAUACAUAUGAGUCUGCAUGAUGUAGCCAUGCAGGUGUGUAAUAUAUACUAAGGGCAUCCAAACAAGGCACUUCUAGCUAUCUAUUCGCUUAGGGCAUUCACAAUGUAAGACUCUAUCACAGAAUCCAAGACAAUUAACUAUAUAUUAUUUAUGGUAUUUUGCUGAUGUGGCAGCAUAUUUAUUGAAAAGAGGUAGAAGAAAUAAGACUCUAAGUCUUACUCCCUCCGUCUCUGAAAGAAUCAAUUCCUAGGAUCCGUGCCAGUCAAACUUUUUAAAGUUUGACUAACUUUAUAGAAAAGAGUAACAACAUCUAUAAUAUAAAAUACACAUUAUAUGAAAAUAUAUUUUAUGAUGAAUCUAAUAAUACUAAUUUGAUACUAUAAAUCUUAGCAUUUUUUUCUAGAAAUUUGGUCAAAGUUUAAAAAGUUUGACUUAGGACAACUCUAGAAAUUGAUUCUUUCAGGGACGGAGGGAGUAUUUAGACUCUAAGUCUAUAUUGUUCGAGGUAAUAAAUAACUUUAAACUUUAUGAUAAAGUGUUGUAUUGUGAGUGCCCUUUAUGUCGGGCAGAGAGGGCACCGAAAAGUUUAGUCGCUGGCAACGCAUUCGUCGCUCAGCUUGCACACUUCCACAGUAAUUUUUCUGUCUCUGCCUUGGUGACCCACUCCCGCCUGUGCUGUUGGGCUGGCAACUUUUAUAUUUGCUUAUUUUCACUUAGCUAGUGAUUUGGCUCAGCUUGUUGAGGACGCCCUAAUGUAGUAAUCAACUUCAUAGAGGGCCAAAAUUGACUAACAGAGGUUGGCACUAUGUCCACCUCAACAAAAGGUCACUGCAUAUCGCUAUAGCGUCAGCCUCUAUAAAUAAAUUAGGUCUUAUUUAGUUCAACCUAAAAACCAAAAACUUUUCAAGAUUUUUUAUCACAUCGAAUCUUGCAGCACAUGCAUGGAGCAUUAAAUAUAGAUGAAAAUAAAAACUAAUUACACAAUUAGCCUGUAAUUUGCGAGAUGAAUCUUUUAAGCUUAGUUAGCUCAGGAUUGAACAAUAUUUGCCAAAUAAAAAUGAAAACAAAAACUAAAACUAAUUACACAUGCAUGGAGCAUUAAAUAUAGAUGAAAACAAAAACUAAUUACACAAUUUGCCUAUAAAUUGCGAGAUGAAUCUUUUGAGCUUAGUUAGCUCAUGAUUGAACAAUAUUUGCCAAAUAAAAAUAAAAGCUACAGUACCUGAAAAUAAAAUUUUUUGAAAACUGAACAUAGCCUUAGAAAAAAAUAUAAAAAUGUCAGCACUGCCCGGAUAUAAAGACCACACUGAACCCGUCGUGCCGGUCAUGGAUUCGCCAUCACCUCUGCUCCUCUAAUCCACCAUAGGAGGUUCUGAUGAGCCCAUGGCUCCUCGCCUUAUUACAGUUGGUCAAGCUAAAAAUAAUGUGUGUAUAUGCAGUUUGGUUCAUUUUCUCUAGAUGACAAUCAACACAUGAUGAAGGAAGGACAUGAACAUGCUACUGCUACUGAUCUACCGCCAAGUUGUUAUUUAAAGGAGCUAAUUAUUAGGUCAUGAAACAAAGCAAGCUGGUGAGGUUUAUCACAGUUGGGUCCAUACCUGUGGAGAUAGGUUGAGUUUGCCGAGAUCAAAGUUGUGCUCAUCUGAAGUCAGCUGGCAAUUUAAUCAUUCAAAAUUGCAGACGACUUUAGAUUGUUGUUAUGCUUAGCCCAAGUCCAGGAAGGAUAAGACCAGUCUCAAUGGACAUGUCACUGCAUGGUUUCACAUACCAACACGUCAUCAAGAUUGAAAUGAAAUCAUCUAUGAAAUAACUCCAGCAAUGAAGCAUUUCACUUUGUUGUUUCCAAGGCUAGCAAAGCAUUUAAUUACUGCAAAAUGAUUGGAUCACAUGCAAGAUGGUGAAACGAUUUAGCCCUCAGUGGAGAUUUCAUCUCGUUUCACCGCGUGAGAAACAACGCCCGUGGAGUUUCACCAUGGUGAAACUACUUCUUUCUCUCUCCUCUUUGUUUCAUACAAAAAGUGCAGUUUUGCUGACGCGCUCUAAUAAAUGUGCAUGACAUCCUGGUGAUACCCCCACUAAAACUGGCCUAACGAGGUUUCUUCAAUAUGACCAACAUUAAUUGUAUACUUGAGUUGUCUACCUUGGUUGGGUAGUCACGCGUAGUAAUUUAUUUCUUGUGUAACCGAGCCAUGCAGAAAUCUUUCGGCCGAACGGUCGGACGGACAGGAAGUUCCCGCCGAACGACUUGAGAGGAAGGCUAUUGUUUAGUGGGCUAUUCAUUAUUUAUUUCAGCCCAAUUGCAGUAAGUACGUCGCUAGGGAGGUCCAAUACGUGUCCGUUCUCUCCACAUCUCCGUCGUAUAUUUUUCUUUCUUUUUAUUUUUUAUAUUUUAUUUUAUUUUACUUUGUCAUAUUUUCUCUUUUUACUUAUUUUGUUUUUUCUUUCCUUUUAUUUUUUACUUAUUUUUCUUUUCCUUUAUUCUCUUUUUACUUACUUUCUCUUUUCUUUCUACUUGUUUUCAUUUUCUAUAUUUUAAUAAUCAUGAAAAAAAUGUUUCCUUAACGGCUCAUAUAAUGACACAAAUAAUUCAUUAUAAAUAUGUGAUUACCCAUGACAACAACUUAUGUAGGUUGUUAUACUACUUAAUUAUAAGUUGUAUAUACAUUUAUACAUUUUUUUUGACUAAAACGCCAUAACAUGACUAUAUCAAUAGGACACAAAUAACUUUUAAUAGAUGAAACUUAACACAUUAAGCAAUACGAGAUCGAGUUGGUUUGUGUGGGUUAAAGGUGGCCACGGCCAACCCAAUGGAAAUUUCUUUUAAGCAAAUAAUAAUAAUUAGAUUUAAAGAUUAAUAUCAUCUCAAUAUUAGCUAUUAUUUGUGUCAUUAUAUGAGCCACCGAUUGUUAAAAGGAGUAUGUUUCAUGGAUGGUUUUAAACUGUUUGUAUAAAUUGAUUUUUAGGGAUGGUUCUAUUAAGACCAUCGCUCUAAAAAAUCGAUUUAGGAUCAGUUGACUUAAGUCAACUAUUCCUAAAAAUAGGUUUCAUAAAUUUUAAAAAUUACUUAUAAAUCUAUUAAAAAUAAGAAAAGAAUAUUUUCAGUGUGGCCCGAAGCCAGCUCACAAGAUUUAAUUUUUGCUAGUUCUGACCUGCAAACCUCUCACAUAGCACGUUAUAUCCACUAACAUCACACCACACAAUCACUUCUAACUAGUUCUAUGAUGUUAUCUAUUCAUAUUAAUAUAUACAAAUCUUUGUCACACCCAAUUUCAAGGAUGAAAUUGAAUGCAUAAACUUAUGUACGCCCAGAGAUCAAUCACACACAUAAGUCACAAAUUAAAUACCAUCAUCGCAGUGUUUACAACAAACGUAGUUAUUACAUCACAAAGUCUGAUAUAACAGCGGAAAUAUAAAUAUGAUAUUCUAAGAUAACUAUCUCAUGGCCCUCACACAGGGAAGGUCGACUGGUGAAGCACAAGCCUAAUAGUCCUCCGGGUAGUCCUCAUAGCUACCACCAUCUGUUACCCAUCCGGGAUUUUUAUCCAAAGAAAAGAAAUAUACAAGCGUGAGUACAUCUUGUACUCCACAAGCAUAGCAUGAGGAUUUAUGAGGCUCAAACAGGCUAAACUAGGUUCACUGCAUCAGCUUUUAGUAGGUCAGUGUUUUAUCAUUAAUUAUUAUAGAGUAUGCUUAAGCUACCAAAUAUCCCAUAUGAUCAGUUAUUAGAACCAUAGUAAGUCAAUAAGUCACAUUAAAGCAUAAUUAUACAUCAUCAUGUACCAUAUAGCCAUCAGUAACCAGUUAUUCUGUGAGUUUUCCGGGCCGCUCGUGACCGUGAGCACGGCUGUUAUAACAGUUUUACACUCUGCAGAGGUUGUGCACUUUCACCGUGAGUCGUGUUGCCCAUAUGCCCGGGAUCCGUCGACCCCCAAACACUACCAAGGUGAGCGGGCAGGGUACACUAUGAAGCCUUCCAUAGGCCUAUUCUAACCAGUUAGGGCCGCGAGGUUUCCUCGGCAGGCAGAUGUAGAAAACCCCCCCUUUUCUAUGGCACAUUUCCAUCGCGGCUAUACUCAUAGAAACAGGGGCAGCCCUACACCCAAAGUGGCAAGCGCCUCUUGCGCCCUUUUGGGUAACUUCUAAGGAGUUAGAAAAGGUCCUAUUACUGAGCUAAAGUCAGAGCCAUGUGACUCUCCCGGUUGCACUGUAAGUCCCAGCUUUUGCCGACAGAUAAGUCCUUACGGAGGGUCUAGGACAACAUGACCAACAGUCAUUUGUACCAUAGCCCUAUGUUCCAAUUAUCAUAAUCAUGUUUAAUCAAUUAACCAUGGUUCCAUCACUGAUUUCAGAUCAUAUAUAAUUGGAGUUAGAGCACUAGCACUUCUACCCAUAUGCAAUAAAAACCCUCGGGAACAAGGUAAUUGUCAUCAACAGCUAGGAUGUCCUUAUAGUUUGCAAUAUUAUACACAUGCAGGGUGAAAUGCUUAAAAAUAAGUAGGACAACAAGGUAGGCCCAUGCUAUACUUGCCUUGGUUCACGUACUCCUGCUGGUCUUGCUGGUCCUGCUGAUCCCCAAAGAGCUCCGGACUCCCGAAAUACUCCUCACCGUCUGGGCUCGAUCAAUACAUCACAAUCAUCACGCAUACCAAGACAAACAUGCAAGAGAACAAUUCCUAAAGUUAGAACAGUACACCAGCAGUAAAUAAAUUAAAUAAAAGUUUUCCAAAAUCAUCUACGUGCUGCUACGAUCAAGUCAACGCGAAAUUCACGGAAAACGGACUUACGACGCGAAAGUUACGCUUUUAACGGGAUUUCAACAGCAAUCUACGGACUUGUAAAUAACUAGGAAAUCUAACAGUGGUAAACCUAAACAACAGUGGUACCAACGCGAAGCUUACAAAAUUACGAAACUAACGCAACUUGAACGGAUUGAUUCGGAGUUCAAACGGCGAUUUUAUAGCUAAAACAAUGCGGUGGCAAUUCUGUAAAUAAGACAGAGUUUAAACGAAUUUAAAUAAACGAAAUAAAUCCUGUAAAUUCCUCUAGCCGAGGACUGCGGUGCAAAUACAAAAAUUUUAGGGGACUCUUUAACAAGAUAUCAUAUGAAGGGGUAAUAGGUAUUUUUGGCCGUUGGAUCAAGAUUGAACGCGCUGGAUUAAAAGAUAAAUAAAAAAAAUAAAAAAAAAGAGAGAGGAAGGUGACGGCGGACAGGCAGCUCAGGCCAGAAACACGGUGGCCACCAUUGACGGCCGGCCCGAGCUCGCCGGAGUUGAGCGGAGGAGGUGCUACGGUGCACGGUUUUCGAUUCCGAUUGAACUGAGAGAAAGAGGAGAGCGAUGCGAGUCUAUUCCACUCCAAAAACGCGGUCAAGGAGGCGGUUUCCGAGAAGGUUCACGGCGGCGCCAUGAACGUCCCCGUCGGAGCUCGUGGAACUCGGACUCCGGGCCACGAUUGACCAAACCGAGCACACAGGGAGGAAGAGAGAGGCAAGGCGAACUCGCUAGAACACUUGGCGCGGCUGUGGAAGGUCCUACGCGGCACGCGCCAUGGCCGGCGGCCAUGGAGCUCGCCGGAGCUCCGCGGACAGCACUAAGGAGUGCGCCGUUUCGCGAGAAAAAUAGACGGAGAGGAAGCGGGAGAGGAGAGGAAGCUCACAACGGCGCUAAUUCGGAGCGAAAACGGCUCGGAACGGCGGCCUACUCGCGGUCGACGAAGAACUACCCGGCGACGGUUUUCUCUGCGCUUUCACGGAUGGGAGCAGAAGCGAGGAGGGGGAAAAAUGGGGAGAGGAAGACUCGGGCACGCGGACUCCCUCCACUUGAAGCCGAGACGCGGGGGAAGCUGGAGAACGUGGGAGCGGGGCUUCGGCCUGGGCGGUUGCUGCUGAGAGAGAGGAUUCGGGAGCGACGGUUGGAGGAAGGAGGUGGUCCUGACGGGUGGGCCCCACCCGUCAGCCGCCAGAGAGAAAAGCUUUUCCUUUUUAUUUUCCAAACAAAUUUUCCAAACUCUUUUCCAAAUGAAUUUUUGAAUUCAAAAUUCUUUUCAUCAAAACCACUCAUCCCAUAAAGAAAUGCACCAGCAUGUAUGCAACAAAAUAUUAGCCUAACUUAUAUUUAAUUUUAUUUUCUCUAAAUUUAUUUAUUUUUCCUAUAUUGAAAAAUGCUCACAAAAUUAUUUAAUAAAGCCAAAUUCAUCUAUUUUUAAAAGAGCCAAAUUUUGGGUGUUACAAUCUUAUAAUCAAUAUUUUGAUUCAGAAAUAAUCUUAAGUGAGAAAAUUUUCAAUAUAAAAUUUUGGAUCUCUUCGAGCACACCAACUUUGAUAUAGGACAUUUCCCCACCCAAGGUCAUUUGAAAAAAAAUAAAAAUCUCAAAUCUUAAAUUUGAUAACUUAAUAUACAUAUCUAGGACCUUAAAUGAUCUCAAAUGAAAAUUUUAUCAACUGCAGAGUUUUAUAUCUCAUCAAGUUCUUGAUAUAACUUUUGUCUUCACCCGACUUCAUUUUAAAAAGUUAUGAAUUUAUUUGUGCCUUUGAAAAUCGAUUUCUAGGACGGUUGACUUAAGUGAAUCGUCUCUAGAGAUCACCUAUUUUUAGAGACGUUGACAUAAGCAACCGUCCUUGAAAAUCAUAUUUUCAGGUAAAAGCGGUUCUCUUAAACAAACCUUUCUUAAUAGUAGAUAUAUUUUAGUGAUGGUUUAUUUAAUAGAACCACCUCUAAAAAUGUUUUUUUUUCUAGAGAUGGUUUAUAAGCUAAGGUGCUUUCAUGGAUAGUUACAAACGGAUUGCUAAGUAAACCAUCCUUGAAAGAAAUAAUACGCGUGCAUAAAAAAUAUUUCCGUACUACAAUAAAGAUUAUGUUUUGAAUAAAAGAUGCGGAGCCUGAUCGGUUUGUGGCUAAAAUUUGCUAUACCAAGGAUUUGGCAAGCCAAAGUUAGGUAAAAAUAUUGCUAUGAGUUUGGCAAGCUAAAUGUGAGUAUAAGUUUUGAUAGCAAACCAAACAUCAAAAUGAUGGCUCGCCAGAUCUUCUGGCUUAGCAUAUUUUGGGAAUCAACCAAUCAGACCCGCAAUAUGCAGCAUAAGAGCAUCUCCAAAGGCUUUGACAAAUUGACUUGACAUUUGUUAUUGUUUGCAAACUUCCAUAACAAAAUACAAAGGAUAAAAAUAGGUCAUCUCCAAGGGAAUUGACAUUUGGACUUGGCAAAGGAGAAAAAUAAGAGGUCUCCAGGCGCGCGCGCUUUCCUUGCGUGUGACUUUGCACGCGCGAUCAGGUUUGCAAAACCGUCUACAACUUGGCAUUUUUGCCAAGUUUGCUCCCUCAUUUGCCAAUUUGCCCAAAUUGCAAACUCCAAAUGUAAAACCGUUGGAUAUCCCUUUUAGAGCUAUUUGACAAAUUACUCAAAUGCAAACCUCAAAUGCAAAACCCUUGAAGAUGCUCUAAGAGUUUGGACUUAACAUCAUUCUAGUAAAAAAUAUAGCAAUUAAUAAGAUAAAAGAAAUUGAACCCGCACGAUCCUAUGAUUAUAUAUUUUUUUAGAUAAAAAAUAGUAUAUAUCCAACUUUAUUUAUCAACGAUAGAAUUAGACUAAUUAUUCCAACAUUCCACCCGUAGGCAACUAAAGCACUCAUAAAUUACACGCCUGUCUUAAUUAAUUGUUAUACUCGCUUAGUUGCGACCUUGAGCAUGCCCCACAUUCGUGGGCGAUGGAUAAUGGUUUGUAGUCUUUUUCCAUAAUUUAUGGUUGCGGUGAAUGUCUUUUACACUUACACGUUUACCGAUAAGAUAAAAAAUAUGUACUUUACACUUUCACAGAGACGCAUAUUUAUUUCUUUUUAGGAUUCGGUAGGUAUGAAAUAGCAAAAAGGGUAGAACUCGUUAAAAGCGUGGGUUUGCGGGCCACUUGCCAUUUGGAUUUGGCACAAAAUCUUUCAUGGCGAUUGGCGGACCGUGUUAAGGUCAUGUUUGACUAUACUCAGCUAUUGUAUUGUAACAUCCAAAAAUUUUAUUUAUUUAAAAUAGAUGAAUUGAAUUUAAAUGAAUUAUUUUGUGAGCAUUUUAAUGUAGGAAAAUAAUAAAUUUUGGGAGAAUAAAAUUAAAUAUAAGUUUAGGCUAAUAUUUUUGUUGCAUACAUGCUGGUGCACUUCUUUUAUGUGAUGAGUGGUCUUUGAACAAAGGAAUUUGAAUUCAAUUUCAUUUGGAAAAGAGUUGAAAAUUUUGUUUGGAAAAAUAAAAAGGAAAAAAGCCUUCUCUUCCCCCCAUUCCUCCUUUCGCCCAUUUUGGCCCAAACCCCCGCGCCCGCCCCUCCUUCCUGGGCCGCGGCCCAGCCGACUUCCCCUCCCUUCCCCCUCUCUCUCUCUAGCGGCUGACGGGUGGGGCCCACCCGUCAGGUUCAUCCCCUCCCCCAAACCGCCGCCCGAUUUCCUCUCUCUGUUGAAACCGCCGAAGCCGCACUCCGCUCCCACGUUCUCCAGCUUCCCCCGCGCCUCGGUCUUCAAGUUGGAGAGCCCCUCGCGCACCCGAGCACUCCCCCUCCCCCAUUCUCUCUUCUCCUUGCCCGUGCCCCGCUCGUUUCUGCGCAGAGAACCGUCGCCGGGAAGUUCUUCGUCGGCCGCGCGUAGGCCGCCGUUCCGAGCCGUUUUCGCCCCGAUUUCGCGCUGUGGUGAGCUCCGUCUCCUUCCCCACUCCCUCCCCGUCCUGUUUCCGAGCGAAUCGAGGCCCGCUAGCGCCCUAGCCGCGCUCGUCGGAGCAGUUAUCCGCCGGCGGCCAUGGCGCGGCCGCUCGGGCGUUUCUCCGGCCGCGUCCUAGCCCGGGGCGUGAUCCCCUCGCCCUCCUCUCUCUCUGGGAGUUUUCGGUUUGGAAAACCGAGCUCCGUAGCGCUCUGCAGGACUUCGCCGGCAAGCUCGGGCCGGCCGUCAAUGGCGGCGCCGCCGCGCCCUCCCUCCCCUCCGGCCGGCGCGCCCUCUCCUCUCUCCCUCUGUUUUCUUUCUUUUAAUCUCGCGCGUCCGUUUCCAAUCGGACGGCCGAGAAGAGCCCGUACCCUUUCGGGGGUAGUUUUGUUAAAGAAACCCCAACUUUUUGCUAAUCACGCCCACAGUCCUUAGCGCAUUUCGUAAAUUACGCUUUGUCUUUUAGAAAGCGUAUUAUCUGUCGGUUAGGUCAAAAUACGCUUUCAGGAAAUUACAGAAUUGCCACUGAACUUGUUUUAGCCACAAAAUAUUCGUUAUAGCUCCGAUUUGACCCGUUCGAAUUGCGUUAGAUUCGUAAUUAAAUUCUCUACAUGUUAGUACUACUGUUUCUGUAGUUUGCAACUUUUUAUUUUCAGGGUUAGGUUUAAUUAAUUAAAUGCCUAUAGGAAAUCACCGUAAAUUCGUAACUUGCUCGUUUUAGCUUCGAUUUUCGUGAUCUUCGUAUCUAUGUGAUCGUGGCGUAACGUAGGUUCUAUUUUUAAAUAUUUUAUUUCAUUUUGAUCUGUUGGUGUACUGUUCUAACUAAAGAAUUGUUUGCUUGUAUGAUUGAACUUGGAAUGCGUGUUGUUGUGUGGUACCGAUCGAGCGCAGACGGUGACGUGUCCGUGGGUGAUCCAUUUUACUCCGAGGAGAAGCAGGACCAGCAGUAGUUCCUCUUCACCGAAGGCAAGUAUAACAUGGGUUUCCCUUGUACACCUAUUCACUUAAUUAAUUACGUAUCUGCAUGUGUCUAAUUUUGAAAACCCUAAGGACAUCCUAGCUACCUGACUAUAAAUUUAUGACACCUAUGGGUAGUAUGCAUGUGGGUAGCUUUGCUAGUGCUUUAAUUAAUUGAGACUUUACUAUCACUCUGACUUUAAUAAAUUUGAUGACAAAUGUUGAGAAAAGGGCUAUGGUGCAAUUGACUUCGGUCAGGUUGACCUAGACCCUCCGUAAGGACUUCUCUGUAAGCGACUAUCCGGGACUUACAGUGCAACCGUGAUGGUUAUAUGGCUCUAACUUUAGCUCAGUACUAGGAUCUCAUCUAGCUGGUUAGAGGUUACCCGAAAGGGCGCAAGAGGGGCUUGCCACUUUGGGUAUAGAACUGCUUCUGUUCCUAUGUGUAUAGCCGUGAUGGAAAUAUGCCAUAGGAAAGGGGUUCUCUAUAUCUGCCUGCCGAGGAAACCUCGCGGCCCUAACUAGUUAGACGAGGCCUAUGGAAGGCUUCAUAGUGUUCCUUGCCCGCUCACCUUGGCAGUGUUAGUGGGUCUUGCAAACCCCGGGCAUAUGGGUAACAUGACUUACGGGAAAAGUGCACACCUCUGCGCAGAGUUUGAUCAAACUAGUAUACUAGCCGUUCUCUCGGACAUGAGCGGCCUUGGACCCUUACAGAAUAGUUGGGUGUGGUUGGUUAUGGGGGAAUGACUUAUGAAAAUCUGACGCAUUGAUCGUGAAGAUUAAUGUGGUUUAACCGUGAUGGUGAUGGUGUUAGCCGUGAAGUUUAACGGUGUUAUUAUCAUGUACUCAAUUGGGCUAAUCGAGAGCUUAAGCAUGAUUAAAUAGGAAUAAAACAUUGACCAAUUAAAAUGCUAACUGCAGUAGCCAGUGUCUGACCUUUUUUGAGCCACAUAAAAUCCUAUGUUAUGCUUGCGGAGUACGAGAUGUACUCACGCUUGUCUCUUUAUUUCUUUUUGGACAAAAAUCCCGGAUGGGUAACAGAUGAAAGCUACUAUGAAGAUUUCCCUGAGGACUUCUAGGUUGGCGAUCCACCCGUCGGUCGUCCCUGUGAUUGGAGCUACCAAGCUUAGAUAGUUAUGUGUUUUAUUUCCGUUUGUCGCAGACUUUGAUAUAUUUGUGUUGUAAUAACGUUAUGUAAGACACUUGUGAUGAUACAUUUGUAAUUUUUCGACUUGUGUGCGCGACUAUUCCUGGGGCGCACAUGAGAUUAUUGUACUUAAAUUUAUCCUUAAAUUUGGGUGUGACAAAUUGGUAUCAAAGCAAGGCUGACUGUAGGACGCAAACCUAGGUAGAAACAGUCGAUUUUAGGGUUUUUACUUUCGCUUUAUUUAUUUCACUGCUUACUUUACUUUCUUGUUAUUUUAUUAAAAUUAUAUAUUCUUACCCACUGUUCUAUUUAUGUAAACAUAUUGAUUCUAAUUCUUAAAAUAAAAUUUAUAGAUGCCUCGUCGCAGCGCAGCCGCGUACCGUGCCCUCUUCACCGCCGCCCGUGCUCCGCCAGUUGCACCAGCACCAGCACCAGUACCUGCACCUGCCCCAGCACCUAUACCUGAGCCCGAGGUCGUCGCCUCUGGUGGCGGCGAGGAGGAGGAGCCUAUGGACACGGGGUCUCCUACGCCUACACCUUCAGCGCCUACUUCGGUGGAGGUAUCGAUCCCGCAGGCCGCCGCUCCAGCACCACCUGCACCUGCACCACCUGCGCCUGCACCCCACGCGUCGACGGGUUCAGCGUCGACGCCUCAGUACCCACAGGUUGUCCUAGAGAUGGGAUGGACCUCUAGGAACAAGUUCAUAGAGGUUGACGAGGACGCUCACUACCACACUCUGCUCACGGGUGUGUUGACGAGCUACUACCCGGAGUUUGCUGCCACCGUCCUCUACCUUUGCUCGGAGCACAAGCACCCGUUGGAGAACACCUACUGGAAGGCCGAGGUGAUCAUCACAGCUCGGAACAACAUCGACAACUCGGAUGAGGUGGAGUCCAUCUAUGAGAGCAGGGUUAGGCGUGCUUCCGCCUACGAGAGCAUGGAGGAUGCAGCCCAAGCUGCGUACUUUCACUACCAUGGCCGUCGUUUUGAGGCCAUGCUGGAGGAUAGGUACCGGUUUCUUCCCCGCAACGACCCAGAUGGCAGGACAUGACAUGUCCUGGCACCUCCUGCUGGUGACCCUACCCUGGAUAUGACUGUGAGACACGUUAGUGCCAUUCAGAAGAUGAAUGUGGCACUGAGGCAGGAGCUGCGUGUUACACAGCAGGCGGGGAAGUGCCUCCAGCGCCAGGUGGAUGAGCUGCGUGGUCAGUUUGGACAGCCACCCAUCUAUAAGAAGAAGCCCCGCAAGUUCGUUCUGCAGGAUAGAGCUCCCUAGAUUUCCCAGUACCUUCUAGUUAGACGUUAGCACGAGUAUUUCAGUAAUGUGUGGCAUGUGAACUUUAGUGUGUUGCUGUUUGUGAUGAUGAACAAUUAUGAUUUGGAGUUUUUUUUGAUUGUAGAAACAUGUGGGCCUGUCCGCAUAUUUCUAAAGUUUAAUUCUAGUAGUAAACGAUGUUUAAUGUGAUGUUGGGUUACUUUAUCUUUGUCUCAGUCAUGCUGAUUCUGGAGCAGUCUGUGAUGUUUAUUCUGUAUUUCAUUAUUGGUUGAGUCGAAAAUUACGAAAUUUUUAUGGUGAAAACUAGACUGGCAUAUCUUUGAUCUCCAACUGGAGUCACCUCAUUAUCUGUUAGGGUCUAUGAGAUAUGUCCGAUUUAAUCUGCUGUACCUGCGCAGACUGAGAACUAGAGCAGAACCUGAUAAACCAUAAUUUUGAUUAUGUUACUGUUGGAAUCAGUAAAUGUGGUCUGAAUAAAGUUUGUAGAGAAUUUCUUAACCUUUCCAGCGAUGUAUACCAUGUUCCUAUUGGAUCUCUAGAUUCUGAGAUAAUCAUGGAUUACUGACCUGCUGAGUUUGAAACUUGUCCAUAAAACUGCUAGUCUUGUUUUUAUUCAUUAUAAGCGAUGAAUAAUUAUUUUGGAAGAUCAAUAAAAGCCGUGAAUCUUUGUUGGAAGCAGAUGGAUGCCGAAGGAGCAGACGCUGGUCAUGGACGUGGCCGUGGCCGUGGCCGUGGACGUGGUGUACCUGAGAAUCCACCACCACCACCGCCGCCUAUGACUAUUGAGCAGCUUAUGGGUAUGCAAGCUAAUCUGAUGCAAGCCAUGAUGAACCGUAUGAACAAUGAACCAGUAGCUGUACCACCGCCGGUUCAAGUCCGUGACAAGCGUGGGGAGUUUUUGAAGGGACGUCCCCCGGUGUUCACCCAUGCCUCUGAUCCACUGGAGGCAGACGACUGGUUAAAAGCAGUCGAGAAGCUGCUGGACAUAGCCCAAUGCAGCAACUUGGAGAAAGUGUUGUACGUCUCAGGCUAGCUGCAAGGACCUGCACAGGAGUGGUGGGAGUCCUAUCAGUAUGGACGCCCGAACAAUGCUCCACCAGUCACCUGGAAGGAGUUUACUGAAGGGUUCAGGUCCCAUCAUAUUCCAGAGGGCCUGAUAGAACUGAAAGCGGAAGAGUUCCGGUCUCUCAAGCAGGGAUCGAUGUCAGUCAGUGAGUAUCGUGACAAGUUUGCAGAGCUGUCACGAUAUGCUCCAUAUGAGGUGGCCAGGGACUCUGACAAGCAGCGCCUCUUCCUGAAGGGUUUGUAUGAUAGACUGCAGCUGCAGCUGAUGAGCAACAUCUACCCUUGUUUUCAAGAAUUGGUGAACCACGCUAUUGUCAUCGACAACAAGCGCAAGGAGAUGGAUGCAAAGAAGAGAAAGCUCCAGGGGCAGCCGUCGGGCAGCAACACUCGCCCACGUGCGUACCCUCAGCAGGGAUUCCCUCAGCGCAGUCAAGGACCGCUGAAUCAGUGGAACCGUGGUCAGUUUCCACAGUGUCCCCAGUACCACUAGCAGCACAGCCACCAAAACCAACAACGUCUCCAGCAGCAGUAUGGCAAUCAGAGUCAGCAACGCCCCCAGCAACAGGUCAACAACCAAGCACCACGCCAAGGAGGGCCCAACAAUGCUCCUGGCAAGAGUGCAGCACCCAGCGGCAAUCCCAAUGCCUGCUACUGCUGCGGAGAGGUGGGACACUAUGCAUACCAGUGCCCCAAGAAGCAGAAUCCACCAGCCCAGCAAAACCAGAACAACAAUCAGAGGCCUACUCGACCUCCAUUGUCGGGAAGAGUGAACUAUGUGUGCACUGACACAGCUCAGGAAGCACCUGAGGUUAUGAUGGGUACGUUCAACAUCAACUCCAUCCCCGCUACAGUACUGUUCAAUUCUGGUGCUUCACAUUCUUUUAUCUCCCAAGCUUUUGUUAGAGUGCAUAGCAUCCCACUUUGCACACUGAAAAAUUCUAUGCUAGUAAAUUCACCGGGAGGUAACAUGCCAGCUAAUUACUGGAGCCCCUCCACUAGUAUAUCUCUAAGGGGGAUAGAUUUCAAGGUGAAACCUAUUGUGCUAAGAACCAUGGGAAUUGACCUCAUACUUGGAAUGGAUUGGAUGAAGCAGCAUGGGGCAGUAAUUCAGUGUCAGGAGAAGUCUGUGGUGGUGACAUCACCAGGUGGGGACAGAAUAAGUGUGGAUGUGGUAGUGCAACCUCAGCCGACUGCUACAAUGAAUCAGAUGAGUGGUGCUAAUCAAGAAGACCAAGUGGUGGACGAGUUCCCAGAUGUGUUCCCGGACGAGUUGCCAGGUAUGCCACCAGACCGAGACAUUGAAUUUCUUAUUGAGCUUUUACCUGGAACUGCACCCAUAGCAAAAAGACCAUAUAGAAUGGGGGUAAAUGAAUUAGAGGAACUUAAGAAACAGCUUAAGGAAUUGCAAGAAAAAGGGUUUAUCCGUCCUAGUUCUUCACCCUGGGGUGCACCAGUAAUCUUUGUUGAUAAGAAAGAUGGCACUAGGAGGAUGUGUGUGGAUUAUCGGUCAUUAAAUGAAGUCACUAUUAAAAAUAAAUACCCACUGCCUAGAAUAGAUGACUUAUUUGACCAACUGAAAGAAGCAUGUGUGUUCUCCAAAAUUGACCUCCGAUCUGGCUACCACCAGUUGAAAAUCCGUGCAACUGACAUACCUAAGACAACUUUUACCACAAGGUAUGGCUUGUAUGAGUAUACAGUCAUGUCAUUUGGGCUGACCAAUGCACCUGCAUACUUCAUGUAUAUGAUGAACAAGGUGUUCAUGGAGUAUUUGGAUAAGUUCGUGGUAGUAUUCAUUGAUGAUAUAUUAAUCUUCUCCAAAACAAAAGAAGAACAUGCUGAACAUUUGAGAUUGGUCUUGCAAAAGCUUAGAGAGAAUAAAUUGUAUGCCAAGAAAAGCAAGUGUGAGUUUUGGUUGGAUGAGGUCUCAUUUUUGGGACAUGUGGUCUCCAACAGUGGAAUAGCCGUAGACCCCAGCAAAGUGCAAGAUGUGCUGAAUUCGAAGCCUCCAACCAAUGCUAGUGAGAUCCGUAGCUUUCUCAGACUAGCUGGGUAUUAUAGGAGGUUUAUUGAAGGAUUCUCUAAGUUAGCAAAACCCAUGACAGCCCUACUAGAGAAGAGUGCCAAAUUUAUUUGGUCAGAUAAGUGCCAAGAGAAUUUUGAGGAGCUAAAGAAAAGGUUGACCACAGCUCCAGUGUUGACCUUACCAGAUCUGAGUAAAACCUUCUCUAUUUAUUGCGAUGCAUCUCGCCUAGGCCUUGGAUGUGUGCUUAUGCAAGAAGGAAGAGUAGUGGCCUAUGCAUCCAGGCAGUUGAGAAAACAUGAGCUGAAUUAUCCUACUCAUGAUUUGGAGCUAGCUGCCGUGGUUCAUGCUCUAAAGAUUUGGAGGCAUUAUUUAAUUGGACACAAGUGUGAUAUUUAUACGGAUCACAAAAGUUUGAAGUAUAUUUUCACACAGUCGGAUCUGAACCUAAGGCAACACCGCUGGCUAGAAUUAAUAAAGGAUUAUGACCUGGAAGUGCAUUACCAUCCCGGGAAGGCAAACGUUGUUGCCGAUGCACUUAGCCGAAAGAGCUAUGCCAAUGGGCUGCAAUUGACCUUCAUUCCCACAGAGUUGCUAGCUGAAAUUGAGCAUCUCAAUUUGGGUUUAGUGAACAAUACUGUUGAAUUGGAGUUAGAGCCCACCCUAGAGCAAGAAAUCCGCAAAGGUCAGUUGGAGGAUGAGAAAUUAAAAGAAAUUUCAGAGAAUGUAGUGCUUGGAAAAGCACCAGGUUUCAGGUUGGAUGAAAAUGGUACACUAUGGUUUGGGAAGAGGAUAUGUGUGCCUGAAGUAAAAUCCAUCCGAGAUGCAAUCCUACGUGAAGCACAUGACUCUGCAUAUUCAAUUCACCCCGGAAGCACCAAGAUGUAUCUAGAUCUUAAAGAAAAAUAUUGGUGGUAUGGAUUAAAGAGAGAUGUGGCAGAGUAUGUAGCCAUUUGUGAUACUUGUCAAAGGGUGAAAGCCGCGCACCAAAGACCUGCAGGGUUGUUGCAACCAAUGCAAGUGCCUGAAUGGAAAUGGGAAGAAGUAGGUAUGGAUUUCAUCACGGGAUUGCCCCGCACUCAGCGUGGGUUUGAUUCAAUUUGGGUAAUAGUGGAUCAACUCACUAAAGUUGCUCACUUUUUGCCCGUUAAGACCAACUAUGAUGGUGCAAAGUUGGCAAAAUUAUAUAUGGAUAGAAUCGUGAGUCUGCACGGAGUUCCGAAGAAGAUCGUGUCUGAUCGGGGUACACAGUUCACAUCACAGUUUUGGCAUAAAGUACAUGAAUCGCUGGGAACAAAGUUGAACUUUAGUUCCGCGUAUCAUCCCCAAACCGAUGGGCAGACUGAAAGAGUUAAUCAGAUUCUAGAAGACAUGUUGAGUGCAUGUGCGUUACAUGAUGUUACCAGUUGGGACACUAGUUUACCAUAUGCUGAAUUUUCAUAUAAUAAUAGUUACCAGAAAAGUCUCGAUAUGGCACCGUUUGAAGCAUUGUAUGGGCGGAAAUGUAGAACACCUUUGUUUUGGAAUCAAACUGGUGAGAGUCAAGUAUUUGGACCAGAUGUUCUUAGUGAUGCAGAGGCACAAGUACGGAAAAUACGGGACAACUUGAGAGUAGCCCAGUCUCGACAAAAGAGUUAUGCUGAUACUAGAAGAAGAGAUUUGGCAUUCGAGAUAGGUGACUAUGUGUAUUUGAAGGUGUCACCUAUGAGAAGUGUCAGGAGGUUUAAUAUGAAGGGUAAAUUGGCACCAAGGUACGUUGGACCGUUCAGAAUUCUUAGGAGACGUGGAGAAGUGGCCUAUCAGUUAGAGUUGCCUGCGAGUAUGUCGGGUAUUCACGAUGUGUUCUAUGUGUCACAACUAAAGAAAUGUUUGCGAGUGCCUGAGGAACAAAUUCCAUUGGAGGAACUCACAGUUGAAGGAGAUCUAACUUAUGAGGAAUAUCCAAUCAAGAUCUUAGAAACAACGGAAAGAGUCACCCGAAGUCAGGUUAUAAAGAUGUGCAAAGUGCAGUGGCACCGAUAUAAACAAGAAGAAGUCACUUGGGAAAGAGAAGAUGAGCUGAGACAAUCUUAUCCGUAUCUCUUUGAGUAAGCACCGUCUCAAUCUCGAGGACGAUAUUAUUUUUAAGGGGGGUAGAAUUGUAACACCCAAAAAUUUUAUUUAUUUAAAAUAGAUGAAUUGAAUUUAAAUGAAUUAUUUUGUGAGCAUUUCAAUGUAGGAAAAUAAUAAAUUUUGGGAGAAUAAAAUUAAAUAUAAGUUUAGGCUAAUAUUUUUGUUGCAUACAUGCUAGUGCACUUCUUUUAUGUGAUGAGUGGUCUUUGAACAAAGGAAUUUGAAUUCAAUUUCAUUUGGAAAAGAGUUGAAAAAUUUGUUUGGAAAAAUAAAAAGGAAAAAGCUUUCUCUUCCCCCCAGUCCUCCUUUCGGCCAUUUUGGCCCAAACCCCCGCGCCCCGCGCCUCCUUCCUGGGCUGCGGCCCAGCCGACUCCCCCUCCCUUCCCCCCUCUCUCUCUAGCGGCUGACGGGUGGGGCCCACCCAUCAGGUUCAUCCCCUCCCCCAAACCGCUGCCCGAUUUCCUCUCUCUCACUUGAAACCGCCGAAGCCGCACUCCGCUCCCACGUUCUCCAGCUUCCCCCGCGCCUCGGUCUUCAAGUUGGAGAGCCCCUCGCGCACCCGAGCACUCCCCCUCCCCCAUUCUCUCUUCUCCUUGCCCGUGCCCCGCUCGUUUCUGUGCAGAGAACCGUCGCCGGGAAGUUCUUCGUCGACCGCGCGUAGGCCGCCGUUCCGGGCCGUUUUCGCCCCGAUUUCGCGCUGUGGUGAGCUCCAUCUUCUUCCCCACUCCCUCCCCGUCCUGUUUCCGAGCGAAUCGAGGCCCGCUAGCGCCCUAGCCGCGCUCGCCGGAGCAGUUAUCCGCCGGCGGCCAUGGCGCGGCCGCUCGGGCGUUUCUCCGGCCGCGUCCUAGCCCGGGGCGUGAUCCCCUCGCCCUCCUCUCUCUCUGGGAGUUUUCGGUUUGGAAAACCGAGCUCCGUAGCGCUCUGCAGGACUUCGCCGGCGAGCUUGGGCCGGCCGUCAAUGGCGGCGCCGCCGCGCCCUCCAUCCCCUCCGGCCGGCGCGCCCUCUCCUCUCUCCCUGUGUUUUCUUUCUUUUAAUCUCGCGCGUCCGUUUCCAAUUGGACGGCCGAGAAGAGCCCGUACCCUUUCGGGGGUAGUUUUGUUAAAGAAACCCCCAACUUUUUGCUAAUCACGCCCGCAGUCCUUAGCGCAUUUCGUAAAUUACGCUUUGUCUUUUAGAAAGCGUAUUAUCUGUCGGUUAGGUCAAAAUACGCUUUCAGGAAAUUACAGAAUUGCCACUGAACUUGUUUUAGCCAUAAAAUAUUCGUUAUAGCUCCGAUUUGACCCGUUCGAAUUGCGUUAGAUUCGUAAUUAAAUUAUCUACAUGUUAGUACUACUGUUUCUGUAGUUUGCAACCUUUUAUUUUCAGGGUUAGGUUUAAUUAACUAAAUGCCUAUUGGAAAUCACCGUAAAUUCGUAACUUGGUCGUUUUAGCUCCGAUUUUUGUGAUCUUCGUUUCUAUGUGAUCGUAGCGUAACGUAGGUUCUGUUUUUAAAUAUUUUAUUUCAUUUUGAUCUGUUGGUGUACUGUUCUAACUAAAGAAUUGUUUGCUUGUAUGAUUGAACUUGGAAUGUGUGUUGUUGUGUGGUACCGAUCGAGCGCAGACGGUGACGUGUCCGUGGGUGAUCCAUUUUACUCCGAGGAGCAGCAGGACCAGCAGCAGUUCCUCUUCACCGAAGGCAAGUAUAACAUGGGUUUCCCUUGUACACCUAUUCACUUAAUUAAUUACGCAUAUGCAUGUGUCUAAUUUCGAAAACCCUAAGGACAUCCUAGCUACCUGACUAUAAAUUUAUGACACCUAUGGGUAGUAUGCAUGUGGGUAGCUUUGCUAGUGCUUUAAUUAAUUGAGACUUUACUAUCACUCUGACUUUAAUAAAUUUGAUGACAAAUGUUGAGAAAAGGGCUAUGGUGCAAUUGACUUCGGUCAGGUUGACCUAGACCCUCCGUAAGGACUUCUCUGUAAGCGACUAUCCGGGACUUACAGUGCAACCGUGAUGGUUAUAUGGCUCUAACUUUAGCUCAGUAGUAGGAUCUCAUCUAGCUGGUUAGAGGUUACCCGAAAGGGCGCAAGAGGGGCUUGCCACUUUAGGUAUAGAACUGCUUCUGUUCCUAUAUGUAUAGCCGUGAUGGAAAUGUGCCAUAGGAAAGGGGGUUCUCUAUAUCUGCCUGCCGAGGAAACCUCGCGGCCCUAACUGGUUAGACGAGGCCUAUGGAAGGCUUCAUAGUGUUCCUUGCCCGCUCACCUUGGCAGUGUUAGUGGGUCUUGCAAACCCCGGGCAUAUGGGUAACACGACUUACGGAAAAAGUGCACACCUCUGCGUAGAGUUUGAUCAAACUAGUAUACUAGCCGUGCUCUCGGACAUGAACGGCCUUGGACCCUUACGGAAUAGUUGGGUGUGGUUGGUUAUGGGGGAAUGACUUAUGAAAAUCUGACGCAUUGAUCGUGAAGAUUAAUGUGGUUUAACCGUGAUGGUGAUGGUGUUAGCCGUGAAGGUUAACUGUGUUAUUAUCAUGUACUCAAUUGGGCUAAUCGAGAGCUUAAGCAUAAUUUAUGAUUAAAUAGGAAUAAAACAUUGUUCAAUUAAAAUGCUAACUGCAGUAGCCAGUGUCUGACCUUUUUUGAGCCACAUAAAAUCCUAUGUUAUGUACUCUCGCUUGUCUCUUUAUUUCUUUUUGGACAAAAAUCCCGGAUGGGUAACAGAUGAAAGCUACUAUGAAGAUUUCCCUAAGGACUUCUAGGUUGGCGAUCCACCAGUCGGUCGUCCCUGUGAUUGGAGCUACCAAGGUUAGAUAGUUAUGUGUUUAUUUCCGUUUGUCGCAGACUUUGAUAUAUUUGUGUUGUAAUAACGUUAUGUAAUACACUUAUGAUGAUACAUUUGUAAUUUGUCGACUUGUGUGCGCUACUAUUCCUGGGACGCACAUGAGAUUAUUGUACUCAAAUUUAUCCUUAAAUUUGGGUGUGACAUGUAUCCAUCUUAUUCUAGAUUAGAAUAAAAUAUUUGUUAAUCUUUCAUCCUAACACAUGUAGAGUGAGAUUGACAUGAGCGUAGCCAAGCAAGUAAAUGUGAAAUGAGGUGGGCGCGCAGAUGAGUCCAAAUUCUCUGGACUAGAUCCUAUUUGUUUCAGCUUCAUGGGAGCUUUUGGAUAUUAGUUUAGUAUCCAUCAAAAACCAAAAAGCUCUGUUAAAAGCUUCUAAAAAACCUAAACAUCGAUGUUUGACGGAUGGAGCUGGGACAUGCUGGUCAUUCAGAAGUGGAGGUUGAUGGAUGAGGUCGCCGUAUAUAGUGCGUCUCUAGUUUCACCACUGUCUCACUCCGGGUCUCUAAUAAUGUGCAACUAGGACGUGCCGUCAAGUACACAUGACGCGCCAAUAUGACAUCAUGCGCAUCAAGUAUACAUAAGUGCAUAACAGAUAAAUAUAUAUUCCAACAAUUUAGUAAUCAUGAAAAAUGUUUCCUCAACGGCUCAUAUAAUGACACUAAUAAUUAAUUUUAAAUAUGUGAUUAUGUACCCAUAACAAUACCUUAUAGGUUGUUAUACUACUUAAUUACAAGUUAUAUACACCCAUUAUUGUGACUAAAAUGCCAUAACAUGACUAUAUCGAUCAAUAGAACACAAAUAAAUUUUAAUAGAUAAAUAAAACUUAACACCUUAAGCAGUAGAGAUGGUUUUUGUAGGUUAAAGGUGGCCAUGGCCUCUCCUAUUUUUUACCAAAGUCAUCAGCAGGGGAAACCCUAACCUAUUUUUUUCAUAAUUUUUUUGUCGGCCUCUCCUUUUUCUUUGACCAAAGUCAUCAGCAGGGGAAAUCCUAACCUAUUUUUUUAUAUUUUUAUUCUAGACCUAUUUAAUUCACUCCCAUGGAGAGUCGAACCUAGGCCUGCUAGAUGCUACUCGGGUGCUCUAACCGCUAGGCUAGAGGCCCUUUCGCCAUGGACUCCCCUAUUGAGAUUUCUUUUAAGCAAAGAGUAAUUACUAGAUUUAAAGAUUAUUAUCAUCUUGAGGUUAGCAUUGCUGAGCUUAUAUAUAGAUCUCAUAUCAAGGUCUAUCUUAGAUCUUGAUUGUAUAUGGACUUUACUAGUCUAGUUGAGGGCAGGGGUGGAUCACAGUUGGGGUUGGCUAAUUUCAAUGGUUUUGGAAUUCCUCUAUAAUGAAGGUCUUGUGUAGUUCUUGAUCUCAACCAUACAUAUAUAACUCAAUCAUCUUUGAAUGCUGACCUUGAUGAUCCAUUUUGCUAGAUUCACCAUUGGUCUAGGUCCUAAAAUCAUAUAUCACACAAUCAUCUUUGAAUGUAGGCCUAGAUGAUCCAUUUUUGCUAGAUUCACCAUUGGCCUAGGACCUAAAAUUCUAACUCUAGUGCUAAAUGAUUUUUUGCUAACGGUCAAAAACAAGCUCCAGGGUCAUUUUGAACAACCGCUACUAUGUCACCGAUUGUAAAAAGGAGUGAUUUCCAGGAGUGGUGUUAAAACGGUUUCUAGAAAUCGAUUUUUACGGGUGAUUUUGAUAAGACAAUCAUCCUUAAAAAUAAAUUUUCGGGAACCAACCCUAAAAUUAAUUUUAAUUUUUUUAAAUUCAUUUAGAAGUCUAUCAAAAUUAACCAAAAAAAUAUUUUUAAUGUGGCCAAAAGGAUCAAUCACAGCUUAACCGAAUUAGGUUUUGCUAGUUUUGAAAGGAUUGAACCCACAACUCUCGCGCUCGCGUAUUGUACCUCCUACCACCACAUCACACAGUCAAUUCUAACUAGUUCUAUGGUGCUAUCUAUUUUUUUUUACUAAAAUGUACAAAUCUUGUAGUCAAUAUUUUGACUCGUAAACAAUUUUAAAUGUACAAAGUUUUAGAUCUCAUCCAACACUAUUACACUACAACUUUAAUAUAGGACAUUUCUCCACUCAAGGUCAUUAAAAAUUCAAAAAAUUUAAAAUUUGAAAUCUAAGAACUUAAUAAAUAUAUAUAUAUAUAUAUCUAACCCUUAAACCAUCUUGAAUAAAAAUUUUAUCAACUAAACUUUUAGAUCUCGUCAACCUCUGUAAUUUUGAUAUAAAUUUUGUCUUCAUCCAACUUUAUUUUAAAAAAAUUAUAAAUUUAUUUAUGCUCUAGCUAUUUUUAAGACAACCGUAUUUGAGAAUCGAUUUCUAGGGGUGGUUGACUUAAGUCAACCAUCUCUACAAAUCACUUAUUUUGAGAUCAUAUUUUUUGGAAGUAGUUCUUUUAACCAAACCGUUCUUAAAGGUAGAUAUUUUUUCAAUGAUAGUUUACUUAAUAGAACCAUCCCUAGAAAUGCAGUUUAUAAGCUAAGUGCUUCUUUGGAUAACUACAUAUGGUUUGCUAAGGCCUUGUUUAGUUCCAAAAAAUUUGCAAAAUUUUUUAAAUUUCACGUCACAUCGAAUCUUGUGGCACAUGUAUAGAACAUUAAAUAUAGAUUAAAAAAACUAAUUGCAUAGUUUGUCUGUAAUUUGUGAGACGAAUCUUUUGAGCCUAGGUAGUCCAUGAUUGAAUAAUAUUUAUCAAAUACAAACGAAAGUGCUAUAUUGUCUAUUUUGCAACUUUUUUGCAACUAAACAAGGCCUAAUUAAACCGUCCUUAAAAGAAACAAGAGACGUCCCUAAAAAAUAUUUCUGUACUAGUGUAAAUAAAUACUAAAGAUUAUAUUUUAAAUAAAAGAGCAGCGUAAGAGUUUGGACUUAGCACUAUUCUAGUAAAAAAAAUAUAGCAACUAUUAAGAAAAAGAAAUGGAACAAGUGGAUCGUACGAUAUAUAUAAUAUGCGACUACAGUAAAAAGCACUGCACAAAUUACACGCUCGUUUUCAAUUGUUAUAUUUGCUACUGGUUGCUGGUGGAAUCUGAUCUUCAACAUGCCCCCAGCCCCCCACCCAUCGUGGGCAAAUGCGAUAAUGGUUUGCAGCCUUUUUCUAUAGUUUAUUACCGCUUCGAAAGUUUUUUACACGUGUAGAUGACUUAAAAAAUUGUGUUCUUUACACUUUCACAGAGCGCAUACUUAUUUUCUUUAGGAUUCGGUAGGGACGGAAUGGCGAAAAGGGUAGAAGCGUGGCUUUAGCCUAGGCCUUGUUUAGUUCUGAAAAAUUUUAGGAAAUCGACACUGUAGCACUUUUGUUUGUAUUUGAUAAAUAUUAUCUAAUUAUAAACUAACUAGACUCAAAAGAUUCGUCUCGUCAAUUUCGACUAAACUGUGCAAUUAGUUUUUAUUUUCGUCUAUAUUUAAUACUUCAUGCAUGCGUCUAAAGAUUUGAUGUGACGAGGAAUGUGAAAAAUUUUGCAAAAUUUUCUGGGAACUAAACAAGGCCCUACUUUUGCCAUUUGGAUUUGCCAUUUACUGAGGUCUUGUCUGACCAUAGUCCGAAAUGUUUUUGGAUUUCGCUAUAGUGUAGCACUUUCGUUUAUUUAUGGUAAAUAUUGUUUAAUUAUGGACUAACUAGGAUCAAAAGAUUCAUCUCGUGAUUUAUAGACAAACUGUGUAAUUAGUUUUUGUUUUCGUGUAUAUUUAAUACUUCAUGCAUGUACCGAAAGAUUCGAUGUGACGAGAAAUCUUGAAAACUUUUUGGUAGAAACUAAACAAUGCCUCAGUUAUUAUUCACCUCGUUCUACGUACGUUGAGGUAGACAGUAAUUGAAUAUUUAUUAAUUUUCCAUCCCAAUUCAUCCUAGCACAUGUGUGGUAAAUACGAGCGCAGCCAGGCUUUGUUUACUUAUAAAAUAUUUUGUAAAAUGUGAAUAGUACUAAUUUUAUUUGUAUUUGACAAAUAUUGUCCAACCAUGGACUAACUAGGCUCAAAAGAUUCGUCUCGUCAAUUCCGACCAAACUGUAUAAUUAGUUUUUAUUUUGUCUACAUUUAAUACUUUAUGCAUACGUAUAAAUUUUGUAAAAUUUUUUGGAACUUAACAUUUAACAAGGCCGUAAAGGUCGAUGAUGUUUGACGGAUGGAAUGGAACUGGGACAUGAUGCUGGACGACAUUCAAGUGGAGGUCGAUGGAUGGGCUGAGCCUGAGAGGUCGCCGUAGUGCGUGUGCGUCUCAGUUUCACCACACAUGUCUCACUCCGGGUCUCUGAUAAUAAGGUGCACUAGCACGUGCCGUCCGGCGUGCAUGCAGGCGCACUAGUUAUCGCGCGUCCUCUCUCUUCCGCCCCUUCUGGGCGCUCUCUCACGGUGGAUUGAUAUAUAUUGAUGGUGUUAUUAAAUUUCCGGCACCUCAUGAUUAAGGCCUUCAAUUAGUUUCCAAAAUUGUUCAAGAUUUUCCAUCACAUCAAAUCUUUAGACACAUACAUAAAAUAUUAAAUAUAAAUAAAAAAUAAUUAAUUACAGAGUUUGUAUGUAAUUUAUGAGACGAAUCUUUUGAGCUUAGGUAGUCCAUAAUUGUAUAAUAAUUAUCAAAUACAAACAAAAGUGCUAUAGUAGCUAAAGCCAAAAAUUUUUCCAAACUAAACAAGGCCUAAAUUAAAUCAUAUACUCGACGAGCGGGAGUCGUGAGUGCAAGCAAUUAUUAUUAGAUAUAAAGCACACUAAACUUGAUCCUCGACCGUUAGUAGUGUCUCCACAGAUAAUUCGCACGUUUCUUUCGUUGACAGAUUGAACACACUAGAAAUAACGUAGUACUGGUAUAUAGGCAUUAAUUAUUACUAGUACACUAAACCGAUCAUGAAUUACCAUGCAUUGGUCGUAAAACAACCCUGUUUCAUUGUUGUUUUAGAAAAUCGGCAGCGUAUAUGAUAAGCGACAGUACUAAUAUACAGAGAAAAUUUGUUAUCAUUAUCGGUUUUGGCGUACAACCAGCAGUGUGAUACAUGUACAAAUUAUCACUUCGUUUGCAUUGGUAUAUAUUACGAAUCACACAAACAGUGGUGAUCUGUAUAGAGUACAUCACUAGCGGGUUUGUAGCUUAUGAUUAAGGGCUAGUGAUCGAUAGUACACGGAUGCUGUUCUUUUUUUUCCCCCUAAUACACUACUACAUGGUCGUGUCGUGCCUCACGUAAAGUUUGUAUAUAACCAUAGUUGGUUCAUUCGGUAUCACAGUGUAGUCUGGAUGUGCAGAGAGUAGUCUUUGUCGAAUGGAAGUUAAUAAAGCACGCAUCACUAUCGUUUUAGGAGCACUUGAACUUGGCCAGAAAGCUAGAGCCAUUAGAUAUACUACAUAUUGGAGAUAGUAGAUGAUAGGCACACACACACACACUCCGCCCAAAUGCACGCACGCACGCCGGCCGGUGUCUUUGUCUGCUCGGAAUCAUGUCAUCUUCCGUUGAAGCACGCGGGCUAGCUCUGGCCGCCGGCACGGCAUUCUGGCAGCGGCCGGUCGCCACGGCCGGCCCACGGCGGGCGUUGGCGUGAUGCAUGCGCUCACUGAUCCAAUUCAAUGUUUUCCACAAGUUUUGAUGCGCGCGGCGGCACUUUAUUUAGCGUUUAGGCAAGGUAUGGAAUGGAAUCAUAUACUGUACUACGCAGCACACAUCACAUCGUCGUUGCAGUUGCAUGUACUGUAUGAAGUAUGGCGGAUUCGAGCAAACAAAACAAAACUGAGGACUUGUUUAGUUCACUCUGAAAACCAAAAAGUUUUCAAGGUUCUUCGUCACAUCGAAUCUUGUGGCACAUGCAUGAAAUAUUAAAUAUAGACAAAAAUAAAAACUAAUUACACAGUUUAGCUGUAAAUCACGAGACGAAUCUUUUGAUCCUAGUUAGUCUAUGAUUGGAUAAUAUUUGUCACAAAUAAACGAAAGUGCUACAGAUUCGUCGUCGUCUUUUCUCCCGUCCGGCGCGGCCGGCCGGUGUGCCGACCUGCAGCUCCUACUAUAGGAUAGGAUAUAUAUAGGUCGCGACCUUGUUUAUUUCCAUAAAUUUUUAAGAUUCUCGUUUAAUCAUAUCAAAUUUUUAAACACAUAUGCAUUAAAUACUAAAUAUAAAUAAAAAACUAAUAACACAGUUUGUCUAUAAUUUGCAAGAUGAAUCUUUUGAAUCUAGUUAGUUUAUAAUUAGAUAAUAAUUGUUAAAUACAAACGAAAAUACUGUAGUAGCCGAAUUUUAAAAAAAAAAAUAUUCUCAAACUAAACGAGCCAGCGCUGCUUGCAUGUUCUUAUAUAUCCGGCACAGAUCAUAGCAAGCAACAGGACAAAGAAACAAACGUGUGGUGUUCCCCAGGCAUCUUGCAUAUAUAAUAAGGAAAAAAAAAAAGGAGUGAACACAUAUGUGUAUGUGCAAUGUUCAGUCAUUAUCAGGUAGCGGCAAAUCAGAAAACACCGCCCGUCUCUGUAGCAUACCAGAAGGAGGAGAAUUCGUGGUUUAAUUACUUUCCUUCGUUCUAUGACUUUCGCGCAUGCGCGUACGUACGUACGUCCAGAAAUUGCUCAUAAGGAAUUUGUCUACGAAUUGACACAAAAGAACAAUUAAACUGACGCUUCAUUUGGAAUAUUUCGCGCGCAGAAUAAUGUUGAAGGACGUAACUAAUUGGUUGCGCAUGAAUAAAGCCAUGUGGCGCAACUGGCAAAAUGCCAAGGUACAGCAUAAUGCCCAUGACACUAUCAAAUUAUAAGCACCGAUUAUCGUCUAUGUACGGACAACAGAGAGGAAGAAUCGCUCUGAAGGUCUAAAAACUUACCACAUUAACUCAAGAAAAUAUCAUCAUUCUCAUGUACAUUCUAUAUAUCUUAAUUAUACUUUUAAUCUCGACUAUCAUUCUAUCUUGUCAUGCAUGCAAAAUGUCCAAUUAGCAUCCACUAACGGUUCUGUUCCACCAUGCCAUCCAAAGGGAGCCGAGGAAGACACGCUAGCGGAGCGAGCGGUCCUAGCAUGGAUGGUUGGGAAGGGGGUAGCGAUCCCUAGGCAGGAGUGAGGCUGUCAUGGCAAGGUGUGCAAAGGCUGCUAGGGUGAGCUGUGUGAGGUUGGGCUAUGACUGCAAAUGGAAUGCAAAUAUUGCCGCAAGGGAACGAGUUUGGUCCGGCUAUUGUGAAGGGAAACCUUGGGAUAGUGAUCGAAUAAUUUUGCCAUAGAGCGGUUUCUGGAACCCCAACUUGUGAGCUUCAUAUUAUUUGCAAUAUCAUAUUGUUGUUUGAUCUUGUUUGUGUUCUUCGAUUCACAUACUCCUAUAGAGAUGAAAGAGUGACGGGUAUGUGCAUGGCAGCAGAUAGUCUAUGGACGGCGGCACCCGUGUGAACAAAAGGGUUAACGCAAAAAAGAGAGAGAGUUGUGGGUCAUCAUCUUUUUGUAUUUUAGGUCUUGUUUAGUUCACCCUGAAACCAAAAAGUUUUCAAGAUUAUUCGUCACAUCGAAUCUUUCGGCACAUAUAUGAAGUAUUAAAUAUAGACGAAAAUAAAAACUAAUUGCACAGUUUAACUAUAAAUCACGAGACGCAUCUUUUAAUCCUAGUUAAUCCAUAAUUGGACAAUAUUUGCCACAAACAAACGAAAGUGUUACAGUAGCGAAAUCCAAAAUUUUUUCGCAUCUAAACAAGGCCUUAGGAAGCUAGUAUAGGAAAAUAUUGGAGAGAGAGGGAUAAAUUGCGGUUGCUACUUAUUUAGUUAACUUGUUAAUGCCAUUGGUUUAGUAAUUGAGUUUUACACAGCUCCUUGAGUUGCUCUUGGUUGGACCAAAAAAUCUAACUAAAUUUAUAUAAAAAAUGGAACACCCAUCAAGCCUAUCUCUUGAUGGAAAUCCUAAGUAAGAAAGCACUCGGUGAGCAAGGUUCAAAAAGAUACCUUUCAAACCAACUCCUUCAAAGAGUCCAAGGACAAGCACCCCUAUAUUGUUUUUGCAAUUGUUUUGCCUUUGGGUGAGCUCAACAAAGUAUAGGCUCAGGUUGGAUUUGAUCAAUCGAGGAGGAAGAAAGGUUAUAGAGGGUAUUUUUUGGCGGUGAUUUACUUAAGCCAACUGUCUCCAGAAAUCUCCUAUUUCUUGGGAUUGUUGGCUUAAGUGAACUAAACUUGGAAAAUAUAGUUUUUAGGGUAAAAGUGAAUACAUUUCUAGGGGUGGUUUUCUAAAUAGAAUCAUCUCAAAAAAAAAAAAUUAAGUUCGAGUGCAAUUUGUUGCUACAAUAUUGCACGGUUGGUGGUUUGCUAUGUGAAACUGAAAAGUAGGAGACAAAUGUAAAAAACAUUGUCUACUGGUGAAUGGCAUGAAAAAAAAAACAAGGAGCAGAUAUUCCAAGUUUGUUGCGCGCUAGAAAUAGCUGAUAUGCAGUUAUUUGCUUCUUUUGGAUGGCCACAUACUGUACUUCCUCCGUCCACAAAUAAAUGCACGCCUCAUUUUCCAAAGAGUCAAAUAUUUUAAGGUUUGACAAAAUACAUACAGAAAUAUAAUAAUGUCUAUCAUAUGUAAUAUGUAUCAUAUUAAGUAUAAAAUAUAUUUUUAUAAUAUAAUUAUUUGCAAAUACAAAUAUUAAUAUUAUUUGAUAUAUUUCUAAUCAAGCUGAACGUGCAUUUAUUUAUGAAUAAAGGAAGUAAUUCUGUUUGGUCCAGAAGAAGGUACAAAUAUUUCUUAUCUGACAUGUGCUAGUACGUCAUGAUCUCACAAACUAAAUCACGUACGGAAGCCAACUACUACUCGUCCUGUCCUGUGUCGUCAACGCGUACAGGCGUAUAUAUAGCCACUGCCUAUAAAACAAUUCGUCUGCACUCUGCAGGGUCAUCAGUCAACGGUCAGUCCACUGCUGAGGCAAAAUUAAAGGCUGCUCAACCAAGAGAGUACAAACAGAGGCCUCUAACCUGUGUGAUUUUUCGAUCGUAAUACUAUACGUGUGUGUUUUGUCAGUGGUACAUGCAGCUCGGGCGGUGCAGUGGGAUAAACGCGCAGGCAGACUCUCAUCAGCUAGCUAGGUAGCCAAACCACCACCAAGUGGCCUAUCAGAUCGAGAGUCUCUCGGCAGACCAACGUGCCGACGACACCCGACAGCGAGACCUACCAUUUCCCCGGCAGCACGCGCAGGCACACAGGCAGUCAAGUUGACAACUCAAGACCACAGGCCAUCAUCAUUCAUAAUAAUCAAAUUUGUUGGGAUAAACUUCCUCCGUCUCAAAAAUACCGUUGUUAUUGACUUUCAGACAUCUUGUUUGACCAUCCGUCUUAUUUCAACUUUCUUAUAGAUAUCAUUUAUUUUAAUAUGAUUUAUUUGAUCAUUAGAGAUACUUUAAUAAUGAUCUAUCUAUUUUAUAAUUUGCACAAAAAUUUUGAAUUAGAUGAGCGGUCAAAUAUGAUUGGUCAAAGUCAACAACAAUGGUCUUUUUGAGACGGAGGGAGUAUCUAUCACGCGCAAAACUCACACACGCUUGAGCGAUGAUAGGUUCAUGAUGAAUGGCUCUUUAAUAUACCCCCUCCAUAUCCUAGAAUACUUGACGUUCUAGGAGUAAAAAAAGCUAAAAAAAAAAGCUUGAUGCUUUAGCUGUUGGACUAUAUAGAUUGGGCUAAUAUCUCAGCUUGAGAUUGUUGUAGGUUGCAUGCCUCCAUUCAUUUUUUUAAAGAGGGGUUUAUUCCUCCUUAGUUAGCAUGGUCACCUUUAACAAAUAGAGGUACAUGGGUAAUUUUUGUUGAACAUUAUCCUAAAAAUAAAAAUCAAAAACAUUUUUUUUUUGAGGUGAAGGGAGUACUAUAUAGAUAUAAGGUAUGUUUGGAUUCAUUAGCACUAAAAAUUAGCUAGCUAUUAGCUAAUAGUUGCUAAAUUUUAGCUAUCUAAUUUUUAUUAGUAGGAGGCUGUUUGGAUCCACUUGCUUAUAGGUGGUUGGAUAGUGUGGUAAAGGUGCAAACAGACUAUUAUUAGCACCUAUUAACAACUCCAAACCUGCUAAGGGCACUAACAAUAGUGUAUUAAUGAUAGUUUCUAUUUCUAUUAAUUACUUUGCCAGCUAAGCAAAAAUCUGAUGUGGCAACUUAAUUAAUGAAGAAAGAGAGUAAAAUUUGAUGAAACCGUUUUCUCCGGGAGAAAACACGUCUACUCGUCGACCGAGGAAUGGAGAAAUCGCUAAUUUGGCGUUGGGAGGAAACGCCAUCCGGCAGCGGCCCGCGACAGGACUCUCCUCCGCACGAGCAGCCGCUCGGUGUGCCGCCGUCGCCCAAUCUAUGCCCGCCACGCUGCCGUCCCCGCUGCGCUCGCCAUCUGCACAGGCCCCUCGCCGUCGUCAGCCGGCUGCGUGCGCUCGCUCACUGGCUGCCGUGGCUACUCACCCACGGGCCGUCGCGCAUGCUCGCCCACGUCGCCGUUGUGUCCCAGGCUGCGCUCACCGUCCGCUCAGACAUCGCCCUCCGCGCUCGUCAUCCGCACAAUGCAAGCCGCAUUUGCUGCCGUCGAGCAUCUCGCCGCACGCUUUACCUCCCGUCUCCCGCCACCUCCGAGCUGCAGGCGGGCCUCGCAUCAAGCAGCAACUGGUGGUGCAGCAAUGGCGAUGGUGUAGCACUCUGCACUCGGAGUCCUGAAGUACAAGGAGGCACACCGCGAGGAGCCUUCUUGCGUUCGCUGCUCUGUUCUAAGCUCAUGCCUAACCGCUAGAAGAAAGAGGAUGGAGAGAGAGAGAUAGAAAAAUAAGCAACAUUUAUUAGACAAAGAAACUUGCAUUGUGUGGUAUAAUUUCUAUAGAUGAUUUCUUCCUGAUUUGGCUGUUAUAGAAAUCGUGACUGGUUUCAACCAUUGGGACUGCCCUAAUAUAACUAACAGUUAACAACCCUCUAGCUAAUAACUAGCAUGUUUGUGUGGAUCCAAAAAUAUUAAUUUUCCCAUAGAUGUGCUAAAGAGCUAUCUAUGUGGUGAGGUGUCGUCAGAGGCUGACGGGGUGUUUAGAACUGCUCCACAAAUUCUGCUCCACAAACUCCAUCAUGGAGCAGCUCCAUAAAAAAACUGGAGUUUGUAGAGUAUCUCGGUGCUCUCACAACUUCACACUUUUUUCUCGAACUGAGUGCGUGAAGCUAAAACUGUUUUGGCUAAAAAACAUGAAGCCGAGCUGAAAAACUUGAGGCAGGGCAGUCCCAAACACCCCCUUACUCCUACUUGACAACUUCCCGGCCGUGUCAAUCUAUCGACCUGAUUGUCUAUUACUAUCUUUUAUCCUGUAAGUAAAUUAUCUUUGUGCCUUUCACUUCUCACCUUUGGGGGGACAUCUAGCUAGACGGUGUUCUAGCAGCGUGUUGCGGAAAAAUAAACUUGUGCGCGAAAAUCCAUACAACACACAUAGUCAAAACAAUGAACCGUGUUUUGCUUGACCUCGAUGGGUUACGUGACUAACCACUUCUCUAAACAUUUGAAUAACCGUUUAAAACCAAAAUAUGCUCUGGCUUUAUAUGUGUGAUCCCGCUACACGCCGUAUGACACGACAUUGACCGUAUGAACAAGAAAGUGCAUCCAAUAAUUGAUCAGGACAUGUACUACUCUAUAGUAGUGCACGCAUGCAUGUUCCAAUAGUUCAAUGGCCAAAGACAUCGCUGUCGACGCCAACCAAUGUUCGAUCCGAGCAACUUUUACAAAAAAGUCUUUACGAGAUAGCUCAUAUGAUUGCAGAUGAUCAACUCAAAGCAAAACGCUUUUUGACUUGUCAAGAGGUUAUCAAAGGACAACUAGUGAAGGUGGUAUAUUACCAAGAUACUGAUGAGUAGAUCUCAAUGGACAGAUGAAGAAAACAAUGCCUUCAUUUCCUACAAAAUGCAAAACGUUCACCCGUGCAAGGUUCAACCCUACUAAAGUGUAGUUCCAACCUGUUUGGUGAAGACUGAUGUGCUUCAUCGAUCGUGCAUGGGCAUGUCCAAUGUAAACAUGAUACUAGCUAAUAUAUAUAUAACGUACGGAAGAUCUCAAUAGGAUCCAUCAACUUGUACCACCUUUUUAUUAUGUGUUUGUUCAAAGUACAAAAGCUUAUGCAAUAUGAAUGCGCGCUUAUCCUAUUCGCUUGAACUUAUCAGCAUGGCUUAUCAGCCACUGUACUGUGUUUUUCUCUCAUAAUAAAUCAGCGAACAUUAUAGUUCAGCUGGCUCUAGACAGAUCAACACUACACUUCUGUUUUUCCCAACUCACAUACACAGCUUGUUAUCAGUCUCUUCAUACAUCCAAAUGAGAUAUUGUACAAAACAGACAGCAUGCAUGCCAUCAGCCUUUUCUUCUCAAAAGAUGAUCUGAUAGUUCGUCGUGGUCUAAGAAAACUGCCGCGGCUAAAGUCAUGGAUUAGGUGUGGGAAGGUGCGGACAAGAUUGCAAAGAAAUGGUUUAGAACUUUGCUGUUGAAACGUAGUAGUGUAUAUUAAUUGCUUUUUUGGAAGAAUAGAUGAUGCAACAAGAUCAAAUGGUCAAAAAGGUCAUGGCAACUUGCGUUGCCAUCCUUGCAUCUAUCGUCAAAUAGAUAGCAUAAAUCAAUCAUCAUAUAUGAGUCCUAAAAAAUAUAGAGCCUACAGAAAAGGAGCAAAUAUAUUAUAUGAACUAUGAAGUGAUCAACAAGUGAGAACAAAUAAGGUAGCACCUUAUGGCAUAGUCAUCACAGCUGCAGGUGGUGGUUUCACAUUUCUAGAGGCGGACAACACAAUUUGAUAUAAGUGAACAACAACAAGAACAGGGGCCCUCAUUCAUAGGAGUCGAUCUUGGUGAUACAAGUGUUAUGAAUAAUGUCCGUUCCAUGAGAAAAACAAGAACACAACAAAACUCAAACAGUAACAAGUGCGAUGAUGGCUAAUUAUAAUGUCUUGGGCGUGCAAACCCCGAGACGCAUCCCCUAAUGGGCUCUAAGAAGAACCACAUCCAAACGGACCAAAAGACGGUGUCAUAGCACCCUACAGAUUCUAGAUGCUGAAGCAUUUUGACCAUUCCUGUUGAUUUAGGAUGUAUUUUGCAAACCAAAGCCACUGGUUAGCUUAUAAAAUUAUCUUUCACUGCACAUGUAGAUUAUUCGAAACAGAGUCUAUAUUCAUCUUGGGCGUCCAUUUUACCCCGACUGCUCUUGGACUCCGAGAUGCACUCCAACUUGAGUUAUUAGAUUCAGCCUCCGCUAUGACUUGGAUGACUUGAGCUCCCAUGCUAGUCCCGGUUGUCUCCAUGGCUUACAUCAGUAAACUCCACAAGAUUGGAGGUGGGCUCAUGAAUCCAAGUGAUCUCUACCUCGUCUAUGAUGAAAUCAACUUAGAAACAAUGGUGGAAAUCAAGACUUGUUGUAUUAGUUUGCAAGUUGACCAAUAGUGAGCUGGUGGAGUGGUUAGGGAGGUCCCUCGACCCUAGGGUCUAUAGGGCCCCUCCGCUAGAGGGGGGCUUGGUCCACCUGUCAUCUGGCACUUCUUGGUUUGUUGGAUCAAUUGGUGAUGCGAAGGAUUAUAUGUUUGUGAGUCCUUUGGUCCUUGUGCAAUGCACAUCUGCCAACUAGAGAAAGAACAAACUACUCUAACGGUUGAGAGUGCUUAGAAACAUGUUUCCUCGGUUUCCACCUAGAUUAGGAGCAAGUAGGCCCACUAGUAGGGUCGACCGACCCCAUCUAGGGUGGCCCAACCCUAGGGGUUUGCCCAAAUGGCCCCACUUUGCUUCAUACAUAGAAAAACUCCAUAUACAUGUAGAACUUUGUUAUUUGAAUAAAAUAUGUUCAUGCAAUGCUCAUUUCUUUUUAUUUUAAGGUAUGUUGAUGGUAUUCUCAUGGUGUAAAAAUGUGUCAUAACAAAAAACAAGAACUAUUGUUCACGUGGACAAACUAUAAUGCAGAAUAUGAGGCAACAAUGCUUGGACAUAAAAAAACUUAUGACUUGAGACAAAUGAUGACAAUUUUCAAGACAGAUUAUCAAGUAGUCACCACUUUCAUAAAAAGAGUAUGAAGAAAUACAUCCUAAAUCAGCCAAGUACCUAUACUAUAAGAGUAAUGGAAAAACAUUUUCUUAGGGUUACAACAAAGAGCAUUCCCAGGAUAGACAACAACGAAGUUGACGAUCUAGCAAAUCAACAGGAUAGAAGCUACCAAUCCCACUAGACGUAUUCUAUGAGAUAUCUGGGCACCUAAUUGUAAAAGUGAUGACAAACCAGUAAAUUUUAUCAGCGCAAUCAAUAGCAAAGAUUAGAGAGCACUGUUGAGACUUCUUAGCGCAAUCAUCAAAGAUAGACAAAAAGCCUAGUCCCCGGCAACGACGCUAGAAAACUUGUUGACACUUCUUAGCGCAAUCACCAAAGAUAGACAAAAAGUCUGGUUCCCGGCAACGGCACCAAAAAGCUUAUUGGGUAUUUUAAACGCACACAGAAAAAUCCGCAAGCGCAUGGAUACUGAUUUAGCUGUCAACCCGAAAGUAUUCUAGAGUAUCGAUUUUCACAGGGAACAUGAAAUGUAUUAGAGAAUCAAGGCCGUCCAAAGAUAAAGAUAAGAGAAGAAAUAUAUAUUUUUGGUGGGUGGAGAGGAACCUUCUAGUGUUUUCUAAGUUGAGUGGGUGAUCAAAAUCAGGCUUACUUCACUCUACCUACUAUGGAGCAAUAGUACCUUUCCGACUCUCAGCAGAGACUAGGAAAAAAGUAGUCGAGGGAAGGCUGCCAAAAAGCUCUAUGAAACACCAACCCGAACGUGGUGGAAUACAAAGGCCUGACGGAGCUGUCACCUCUGGGGCUAUCAUAACUAAUUGUGGGAUUAGGCACAAACUCAGGUAAACUCUAGUGUAGACACCACGUCUACACUAGCAUUUACUACUCUAGUUACCUUAAGAAUAACUAGAGCACUCAAUACGAGCAGAGAUCUAGUAAGUAUAAUUAAGCAAGAAUUAAAUAAAAAACUGAACUUAGAAAUAAUAAUUAAAGAACCUGGAGAUUGCUGAGCGACGAACCAGAUGCUGCAAAAGUACAAUAUUGAGGAAGAUCCAACAGAUCUAGCUCCUCCUCAGCUCUCUCCUCCUCUAUCCCUUUAUGACUUGAUGAACUAGACUACAACUAGAUGAACUAGAACUAAAACUAGAAAAACUAUAACUAGAAGAUCUAGAGGAACCUCUACUUCUCUACUUGAUAAUGAAAAUAGACUUCUCUCUUGCUCUACUUCUCUACUUAAUGAAAAUAGACUUCUCUCUUGCCAGAAGGAAAAUAGACUGAAGAGUAGUAUUUAUAAUAAUGGAAUAGGUGGGUAAUUUAGAUUUAAAUUUAGGAGGGUUAGUUUAGGUUGUCAUAAGGGAAAGUUAUGUAAUAUAGAUGUAGAUCUAUGAAUUACUAGAGCAGCUCCAACAACUUGACUAAAAUUAGUUGUUAAAUUCUAUUGUUUAGCCAUUAUAUAAAACAGAAAAACUUCCCAAAAAGAAUCUAUAAUAGUCUUGCUAUUUAACAAAGUCAUAUAACCAGUGCAUGUGGUUGGCCAUAUAUGGUCACCGAAAAACAAAGGAUAGCCAGCUUUCUAUUUUACAAAAUUAGAUAGUACAUCUGUUGGAACCAUUUUUUUAUACAAAUUCUAAAAUAAUCUCAACAAUAACAAUAUCCAAGCUGUUGGAGUUUCUCUUAGGAUAGUUCUUUAUAAUGAUAAAGAUGGGUAAUUUCAUAGAGCAAACAAACCUAGUUAUGACUUAUAUUUAAUGACAAUUAGAGUACAUAGUAUGCAAAAAAUGAUCAUAGCGUUUGUGCAAUGCGGAAUUUCUUUGAUUUAUCUUUUCUUCUCACGUCUAUGGUUCAUUGUCUUGAACUUUUGGCAAAACGUCCUUUUCUCCAAUUAGUAGUUAAUGUUUUUGAAAUGAUGCUUUCGACAUAUAUAUGUUCCUCUUUGUCAAAAAAAUCCUGUCUAUUCCACUAAAGUUAGUGUGUGAGGAAGACCUAUACCGUGACCGAGAUUAUAAAGACAGUCUGUGAUGAGGACCCAUAUCAGUGACAAAAAUGGGACCUGUCUCAAAUGUGAUGACAUGUCUUUAGCGGAGAUCACAUUAGAGACAUGUCUUGUCUACACCUCUAUCAGAUGAGUUGAUAUCGCAUCAUAGACGGUCACAAUGUAGUUUGGUCUCUGAUGAUAGGCAACCGCACCCCCGCCGUCACAUCCAGAAUCAGGGACGUGUAAGAUUGACCUAUCUCUAAUUAGUUAUCAGAGACACAUGUUGUUGAUCCGUCUCAGGUAUAGCAUCUUCUCAUUUCUAACAUAGUUUUGGAUGGUUCACAGACGCAAACUAGCAAUUCCACAUGAUCUCACUCGCACACACAUCCCGUGCACUGCAGAUGAUCAUAACAAGUAAGUGGCAAAAAGUAUAGCAGCUUAUCGCUACCAGCGAAGUUAGGAAUAUAGACCUAAUUUCUUAGAGCUAGAUCCUGCUUAAUCGAACCAACUAAUGGAGCAAUACAGUCGCCAGGUCACCUCGCUCGUUAGUAUUCGGAAAUGGUCCAGCAGAGAUUUGGUGUAGAUGCUCACAGUCCUCUGUCGUUUUUCACGAAUCUCCCUCCACGUUCUCCGAAGCUAACCGCUGAACGGCCGGUAGACCUUGAGGGCAUCGACGACGUCGGCGAUGGAACCGGCGGCGGCGGCAAUGGAGACGAGGAGGCAGGUGACGCUAAGCGUCUGGAGACACAACCACUUGGUGCUGCCCCGCGGAACGCGGCGCUGCUUGAUGUACAUCUCGACGGGGAAGUAGACGGUGAGCGGCCAGAACGAGACGGCGCCGAGGAGCCCCACCACGUCGCCGAAGAACGGCAGCAGCAUGGCCACGACGGUGGUGACGCACACGAACGCCGACCGCCAUGUCAGGCGGAACACGCUGAGCGCGAAGGGGCCCACGCGGAGCUCCCGUGAGAUGAAGGCGCUGUCCGGCCAUGCCGCGGCGGCGCGGCGCUCGACGAAGGCGAAGAUCGGCUGGCAGAACACCUGGUAGGCGCCGACGAGGUGCACGACGAUGGCGAUGUUGGCGAUGUCAAGAAGCCAGAAAGGCUCGUAGAAGCCGAAGCCGGUGAGCAGGUUGUCCGGCGCGGCGUCGCCGAACGCGGCGUACCCCAUGCACCCGCACAGCAUGUAGAAGAUGGUCGUCGUCGCCACGCUGAGACGCGUCGCCUUCUGCAUCACCUUCGACUCCGACGGUGGCGGCGCCUUGAUCGUGUCCUGAACAAGAAACCAGAGAGCAGAAACAGGCUUCGUUAGAAACAGGGGAAUCCAGUUGCAGAGAGAAUAGAACAGUAGUGUAUGGUUUUUACUUGGAUUUCGAUGAGGAUGUUGGAGAAGGAGUAGGCGAAGGCGAUGUCGCCGAAUGCCUGCAGGGUGUGCCAGAUUUUCUGCGUCGAGGUGACGCCGGCGCCGAUGCUGACGCCAGUGAGGCUACCCUUGAACCCACCAUGGGCUGCAAACAAUUGCAUCGAUCGAGCACAUGUCAGUAACCAAGAAUCCAAGAAUCCUAAUCACCAAAUCUGAUUGAAGAAUCAUUGACUUACAGACGGUCUGUGCGAUGCCGAGGGAGAGUCCGAUGCUGGAGUAAGUGAAGGACAUGACGGCGGCGACAAUGGAUAGCCACCAAAUCUGAUCGAAGUCCGGUAUCUGCGAGAAGAGAAUCUCCACAACGCCGAAGAGGAUCAUGUACGGGGUGCUGGAGCUCUUGCAGGGAUCCUCAUGUCCAUGGCUGUGGAAGCACCCAGCUCUCCUGAUGGCCUUCAUGCUGAUGGACGACGCGAUGGUGUAGCCAAUGGCGACGCCGACGAGGUUAGCAUACUGUAUAAUACCGCAGAACACGACCUUGGCGCCGCCGAGGUUGGAGCGGACGGCGUCCAUGUAGGUGUAGUUGCGUUUGCCCGUCUCCGGGUCGCCCGUGCGGUAGCACUCGGCGAGCAGCGUGGCCGUGUAGUAGGUGACGAAGGCGAAGAGGAGCAUGGCGGUAGGGCCGGCGACCCAGCCGAGCUGCGCGAUGGCCCAGGCCAGGGAGAGCACGCCGGAGCCGAUGACAGCGGUGAUGAUGUGGGCGCUGGCCGUCCAGAACGUGCCGGUGCGACGAGGGCGGCCGUCGUCGUCCAGCCACGCGGCGGCACCGGCGUUGCCGGCCUCGACUGACACCUCCAUGGGCGCAACCGAGUGCAUGUUACUCACUCCGUUGUGCGCUGCCGGUGCCAUGGCCACUGAGCGAGAGCGAGCGAGCUCUGAUCCCUCUCUCGGAUUUCUUCUUCCUCUUCCUCCUCUCAGGGAGCUAGGUGAUGCGAGAAGCUGUGUGGGAGAAGUGUGCUCAGGGACGAGGAUAUAUAUAGACAGAUAGCUCGAGAGCAGGGAGUAGGGCAGUAGGCAGAGGUCUCUGUGUGCGUCUGCUUUCUAGUCAACGCUGCCGUUUUGGGUGUGUAUUUAUUUAUUUAUUUAUUUAUUUCCAUUUUUCUUUUCUCACUUUUUUUUUAUCCUUUGCGGCUGUGCCUUGGGUUGUCAUGCUAUAUCUCCUCGUUGGACUUUGAGUGCUUGGUUACAUCACUCUAUCUCUUCCUUGGACUUUUGUUGCUGUGCCUCUCUCUGGUCAACGGUGUUUGAACUCUGCUGGUGUGGGUCACGGUGUGCUUAGCAUUGUCUUGUGUCAGCCAUUGAUGAGACAUCCUCUUCUCCUAAGUUUAAGUACUCUCUCCAUUCCAAAUUAUGUCAUUUUAAGUUUCUUAGAGAGUCAAAAUAUCUCAAGUUUGAUCAAACUUAUAUAGUAUAAUAAUAACAUUUAUGAUAGUAACAAGUACAAUUAGAUUCUUCAUUAAUUAUAUUUUUAUAGUAUAUACCUAUUUAAUGUCAUAAACUUUUAUAAUGUUUCUUAUAGUUUUGGUCAAACUUGAGAUGCUUUGAACUAGAAUGGAGGGACUAUAUGUAUAAGCACUCAUUAUUGUCAAAAUCUUUUUGAAUAUUGUUUUGAUUUGUUUAAAAAAUUCAAUGGAUUUGCUUUGAAUGGUUUGGCAAAAUACAAACUUUGUUAUGUUUUAGACUGGUGAUGUGUGGGUGUAAUUGGUGUCUUAGCCACUUUGUCAAUGUCCGAAACGAUCCUCUCUCUCUCUCUAUCUCUGCAAGAAUGGCAUGAAAGGGUUAUUAGUAGGCAAGACCGGUGAUAUGAACCAAAUCCAUUAUCCAAAAACCAAAACAUAACUUUUAAUUGAUCACUUGGACCUCUGAUAAUAACAAACCUUGGGCCUUGUUUAGUUCACCCCGAAAACCAAAAAGUUUUCAAGAUUCCCCGUCACAUCGAAUCUUGUGGCACAUGCAUGAAAUAUUAAAUAUAGACGAAAACAAAAACUAAUUACACAGUUUAGCUGUAAAUCACGAGACGAAUCUUUUGAUCCUAGUUAAUCUAUAAUUGGAUAAUAUUUGUCACAAACAAACGAAAGUGCUACAGUUCCGAAAAGUUUUCACUUUUCGGAACUAAACAAGGCCUUGGUCUUCUGUUGCACCAAAUCUGAUUUUAGUUCAGCCACAAAAAUUACUGGCAAGCACGCUACACAUCAGCGGGCUCACAUACUCCGUCUCAUAUAAUGUCCCAUACAAUUUUUGCUUAUGUGGAGAAAAGAGAGAGGUGAGAGAGAAAAAGGUUGUUGUUUCAGGAAACAACCACCUCAUGAGCUAAGGUUUAGGACUAUGAGAAAAUUAUUUUACCAAUUGUAUAAGUUGUUGGUACCAUGCAACUCAUAAAUUACUUUUAUUCUAUAUAUAAAUUAAGAAAUUGUAAGUUACUACGAGAUAGCAUACAAAAUAACAAUUGUACAUGUCGUCAACAAAGUCAUUUUAAAAUUAUAUAGCACUACGUGAGACCACUUAUGAGACAACACCCGUGUACUUACCCUUAACGUUGCAAUCAUUUUGCCAUUUGGACUGGAUAUGGAUGGCGUGUGCCCAAAUGAUUGAUGCCGCUAUUUUUUUUCCAAUUAGUACUGAGGAAGAACAAAACUACACAACAAGUUUUAAGAGGAAACACUUAUGUGAGGGACGACAUCAACCUUGGUGACCAAUUCUCUCUAACAAUUUUGGCACAACUCUAGGAAGAAUCACAAGUGGUGGAACACUGACUUUGGAAGCUCACUGUGUCUGGAGAAUGCUCGGCUUAAUCGGCGUACUUCAUUUCUCAAAAAAGACUAGCUACCUGAUUUGUCAAAAAAAAAAAAAAAAUCGGCGUAUUCCUUGUCGCGGUAAACACGGAGUCGAACAAGCUGAUCUAGAAAACAUGGGCAUCUCCGAAGUCCGAACUGCAUGUUUUUCAGCCUCUGGACUGUCAGGGAAAAAAUGGUCGUUUGUCAGGGACUCUCUAGAAGGUAGGAAUAUAUAUUACGUACUUUAGUUAUUACCCAGAAAAAAGGUCGUGUUUUGGUUUACGGUGAAGUGAGAUUUGAAUGGAAAAAACGCUACGAAGCAUACCUAUGUCAUUAUAAAUACCUAGGCCUUGUUUAGUUCACCCAAAAACCAAAAGCUUUUCAAGAUUUCCCGUCACAUCCAAUCUUACGGCACAUAUAUGGAGCAUUAAAUAUAGAUAAAACAUAACUAAUUGUACAAUUUACCUGUAAUUUGUGAGACGAAUCUUUUAAGCUUAGUUAGUUCAUAGUUAGAUAAUAAUUACCAAAUACAAACGAAAUUGUUACAGUAUCAAAAUUUUUAAAAAAAUGAAUCUAAACAAGGCCAAUGACAAUAAUAUCAUGGUUAAUUAGCAUAUACUAAUCUCUAUACAUAUAUAUAAGGAUACCGUACUAAUUUUCAGAAUCCGCCACUCUACGAAAUGAUGUGAGUGAAGUAAUACACUCUGUUUAGAUAUAAGAAGUUAUUUUGACUUUUUUAGAUACAUAAUUUUUAUUAUGUUUUUAUACAUGUCAUAUAUUUACAUACAUAGCAAUUUUGUACCUAGAAAAUUCAAGACGACCAAAAGUUUGAGACAGAGGUGGUAUUUGCCUAUUUGGUAUUGAAAAUCUACUGUAUGUGUAUCUCACAGAUCGCCAACACACCAUGUGCAUGUGCAUAUAAUUUGAACACGGAAAAGCAAAAAAAAAAAAAAGAAGAUUCGUAGGACUGCACCAGAUGCAUGAUGCAUCAUAUCCAUUCGGCGCACAGUCCCGUAGCUCCUAUCAAUCAUUUGCUCAUCUUAUCUCCACAAUUGCCAAACAAAUAUAUCAUGUAUGUGCGACACACACACGAAAAAGCAAAACACUAAUGAUAUAAGCUGGUGUAGCAUGACAGGACGACACAGCCUAAUCUCUCUCUCUGACUCUGAUUAUGAUUAGCUAGGUUCGUUCCGUUUCAGUGAUGAUUUCUAUACUAGUCAAUUAUGACUGAAAAUACUAUUCACUAAUUUAUUAUUAAUGAAAAAUACUGUUAAAUAAUUAGCAGAUUCGAAGCUCAUUUCAAGCUAAUAAAGAAGCUAGACUUCCACGACGAUGCGUGUGAGGACCACCAGGCCCAACGCGCAAGCACCUCUGCUACCCGCUGGAGCGGAGUGGAGGGAGCGUGUCGGGCUGGGGUCAACGCACGGACACGUUAGAGUCGUUGCGCGUGCGCGAGCAGUGCAUGCGGCGGCGCGACUCCGGCAGCGGCGGCGCGCCCGGAGUCGCCGGCGGUGGCGUUAGGUCACUGACUCGCUGGUGCCCGUGCCACUACUCCCCGGUCGCUGUGGCUGUGUCUUCCGUUUAAUUUGUUCUCCGCAGCUGAGUCUGACGACCCUGACGCUGAAGAUUACUGUACCCAUGAUUUGCAAUGAUGAGAUGAGAACAACAAGUCAUUACCUGCCAUUGUCAUAUGGCCAAGUGCAUCAGAAAAUAAAUCCACAACAUGAAACAUUGCUAGAGCCCACACCAGCUGACGUUAAUUUUACAGAAUGUUGUUUAAUCAAAAUUUUUGGAGAUGCCCAGCCUAGUUCUCGAGAAUUUAAACAGUGUGGCUGACGUAGAAUUUCAACCUAUAGGGUAUGCUAAGCCAAUCCUCCCGUCUAAUUCAAUGCACAUUAUAUCAGCAAGCAAGUAUAAAUCUGUCGAGCAAUUUCGUAAACACCUAUAAAUUUGGCGGAUUUUAUAAAGUUAAAAUUAAUUGACUCCUUAAAAUACGCGAUGAAAAUUAAUUUUGGAGCAGAGGAAAUACAACUCAAUUAUUACUUAUUAGUUGUUCAACAAAUAAAUACGCAUUGUGGCAUGAAUCAUGAUGGAGUAUGAUCUAAUGUAAGUCUUAUGGGGAUGUCCGGGAAGGUCCGGGGUUCAGGUUGUAUGAAUAGCUGUAUUUGCUAACAAAUCAAACACGUGAGAAUCCUUGCCAAGUAUAACGUCAUCACCAUUGAUCUACUUAGCAUAUGCAUUUGACACCUGUAAUCUACUAAUCUAUACAUAGAUAUAAUCAUAAAUUUUUGAAAACAGAUUCCUCCUAUCUACGAUCAGUAAUAAUAUGCGUGAUGUGACUUUUGGAGCUUCCUACUAGCUAGAAAGGACGCUUUCAGAUAGAAAGUUGAUAGAUAGAUUGGCAAAAAGAACGAAGGGGACCCCAAAGCGCUAGCUAAAAUAGAAGCUAGAAAACCAAGUGCUUUGCUCUAUAUCAAUCCUUUAUUACCAGUGGUAGUGGGAACUCUUGGACAGUUGGACGAGACCGAUAGAAACUGGUGAUGCAACCCAAGUUGAAAAAAUUGGAGGUUUGGAGGGGUGAUUUGAUUUCUCAAAAUGGUGCCACUUUUUGAAUGGUCAAAAAGAAAACUUGAUGCUGCCAGCGCGUGCAGUUCACAUGCAUGUAGCAUGUUGGAGGUACUGCUCGAUCAGCGCAGUUGGCCACUUGCAACUGUUCUUGCCACCGGUAGCCCAAUAAUAGCCCACAUGUCGAUUUUAUGCUGGUGGAGAUCUCUCUAAUCGCUUAUUCGCACGAACAAAGACCAGAUUGGGACCAAUGAUCAACCCUUGAUGGUCAUCUCACUAUACAUAUCACACAUCAGUUUUUGCUUAUACAAGGGACGUCAAUCUUUUGUAUUCACCUGCUGCCUAUACUUUAUUGCAGAACUUAUUGGUAAGUUGCAAUCUCGUUGGUGUAAUUCUGUGUUGGCCUGUUGUACGCCUUUAUCUGUUGGUAGAAGCUGGUUGUAGUAGACUAGUAGCAAGUUCCUGGAGGUAGUUUCUCAGGUUGUUGCUUUCGUAUGCCUUUAGCUUGCUAUCUAUUCUAAAACCCUCUUUAAACUCUUGUAUUUCCGUUCAUGGAAUGGGAAUGAGGAUCUCCUCGAGUUGACAAAAAUUAGUCAUUAGUUAGUAAAAUCAUUUUUGGUGCUACGUACAAGAUCCACACUUCCACCUCCAUGCUCAAGUCUGAGAUCCGCUGCCACUUACUUGGCCCACACUUGACAUGAGCCACCACCAUCACCUGACCCUAGCCCGCCACCGUUGAUCUCCACCUUUGUGUUCUGCACUUGGUUGGCGGGCCUCCACCCUCGCGCGCCGCGCUUGGCUAGCAGGCCGGACUCGUGGCGUUCACUCAUUGUGGGGAUUUCUUGUUCUUGCCUCCACCAAGAUAGGGAGAACAAACGUCGUUGGCCAGCUGAUAGUAGAGAGGGACAUAUCAAAGUUGGGUGGGGAGCACCUAGAGCAUCGGAGUGGAGGCGAAAGUAAGAAGGUAGGGGUUAGAAGUGUGUGCGAUAGUGAUACAAAGGGAUGGAAGUAGCUAGGGUUUCUCUCACCCUCUGUUAUAUACCCUUAGGGUCAAGACAGGCUAGCCAUCAAUUAAUGGAGGAGGUUUAUUAUUAACAGGCCUGUCUCUCUAAAAGUGGCUCAUAUAUUUUCAUAGAUGGACCACUUAAGAGCAUGCUCUAUAAUUUAUUUUCAUAGAUAAUACUUUACUAUCAGCAUGCCCGUGUGUUGUGAUGGGAGAAAAAACUGUCAAGCAUUCAUGAAGAAGUAUUAUUUAUGUCUCACUAAUAAAUUAUAAAAGUUAUAAUUUAUUUUGUUAUGACCAUGAUAUUUAUAAUAUAAGCUGAUGUUUUUUCUGCGAGUGAUAAUAUAAGUUAAUGUUGAUAACAAUAUGACAAACUUUCUUCCUUAAAAGAUUGUAAAGUCAUCAUCUACCUGGUGACACCAAAUGUCGAUCAUGCUUAGGUAUCCGCGUCCGAUACGAAUCAUUUUCCACUCAAAACUCACACAUUUGCAUCCUACAUGGUUACAAUACGAAGACCAAUACAUGUGUCUGUGUUUAAUAUGAAGUCCUUGGAGCUCACGCAUCUGUGUCCGAGUACUGAGGUUCAAUCCAAAAAACUGUGAUCCCGGUACAAUGCUUGGGCAUAUAUCUAGCAUACUAUAAAGGCUGACCCUAAUUAAAAUAUAGUCUUGAUGGACUUUUUUCUCAAAUUGGAGAACACAUAAACAUUUACAUGUAGAUAUAUUAUAAAUUUAGUUUUCAUUCUAUCAUGUGUUGAUUAGAUUAUAACUUUAGUUUUCAUUCUAUCAUGUUUCCAUGACCUUUGAGGACUCAUAAAAAUCUAUACUUUAAUAUCUAUUAAAGUCAAUAAGGAGUUAGUUGUUGAUGUGCCAAGAAUACUAUGUCCACUAAUGAUUAGGACAAAAGACCUCUCUUGACUUUUCACAUGGUAGCCCUCAUCAGAGAUUGCAGAGAUACAUUUAUUUAGACGGGAUUAGACAACAAACUGCUCAUGAUUUGUAACACCCAAAAUCUGAUUUUUAAGUAAUAGGAUUUAAUUUGAUUAAUUUGAAUAUUUUGUGAGCAUUUAAAUUAGUAAACAAAUAAAUUUUUGGUUGAAAUUAAAAUUCAUCAUAAGAUUAGAAACAUGUUUUGUGUUCAUGCUGGAGCACAUCUUAUUCUAUGCUUGCUGUUUUUUUUGUGUGAAUUUAUUUGCAUUCAAAACAUCUUUUUGAAAAGGCUUUGGAAAGUAAAAUAAAAAAAAAGAAAAGAAAACCCCAGCCAACCCCUGGGCCCAAUCCCCCUCACUCGGCCCAUUCCCACUCCCGGCCCGCGCGCGCACACUGAUCCCCUCCCUCUCUUCUUCUCUGGCCGACAGCCAGGGGUCCCGUACCUCUUUCACUGAUGCGUGGGGUCCACGUGACAGCGCCUUGGCUUCCUUCCUUUCUUCCUCUCGGGACCGAGCAGGACUCACCGGGAGCCACCAAAUCCGGUUCGACCCCGCUUUCUGCGGGAUUUGAUUUUUCCGAACCCCUUUUUAGCCCUUGGAGAACCCCCUGCGACCCUCUCUUCCAUCUACGCGCGUUGGUAGCCAACCUCGCAGCUCCCCGUCGCCGUGUUGGAUCUCGCCGAAACAGAAACGGAGCCGCCGCCGCGACCGACCUCCUCCGUCCCUUUCCAGCCCGAGGAAACCCUCUGCGCGGCUUCGGAGUAAGCUCCUCUCUCCCCUGGCGGUUUCCUUUCAUCCAGAGACUCUCGGGAACGCGAGAUCGAGGAGCUCCGGCAAGCUCCUGGGCGCCGGCCAUGGCGUCCGCCGUGGAGGGCUCGCCGCCGGUCGGCCGGAUUCAUCCCCAAGCCCUCCCAGCCGUCCAAAUCACGAUCGACGCUCAAGAUUAGAAGUUACCCCUUCGGGGCGAAAAUUCUUAAAGAAACCCUCGGCUUUCUCUUAUUUGCUCCGCGGUCCUUGGCGCCCCAAGUAGGUUUACGCCUUCCAAAUUCAGAAAGCGUAUUCUCUGCCGGUUAGACUAAAAUACUGUAAUAUCCGAUUUUAAGGACAAAACCAGAUAUGCACCAUAUGUGAGUUUUAGAAGUCAAAUCUCACAUAUAGCUACAAAUAAAGGGUAAUAUCAUAAGACAAUGAGUAAAUAUAUAACGUACUCAGUAUAAAAGAUAUAACCUUUGAUAUCAAACAGCGGACAGACAACUCCAAACUUCGGGUAUUAACUUCACUCCACAGGAUCCAACGGACUGGUUGAUCACAAGCCUAAACUCCUCCUGAAGUUUGGGGGAAAUAGCAAGAGUGAGUCCAUGUCGAACUCCACAAGUAUAGCAAAUAGAUUGUAUAGCUCCCACAAUCUCAUGAUCGAUGUGACAUAAAUAAUGUAAAGCAUUAAACAAUAAACAAUGAGCAUAUUUAACACACAAGAUUCAUCACCCUUAAUGUAGAUGUCCCCAAGGCCGCUCCUGUCCGUGAGCUCGGCUAGUAUACUAGUUUUAACACUCUGCAGAGGUUGCACAUCUUUACCCAUGAGUCAUGAUUUACCCUUUCGCCCGAGGUGAUCAGCCUCUUAACCCACUUCCAAGGAAGGUUGGCAGGGAUCACUAUGAAGCCUUUCAAAAGUUCGUCUAACAUGUUAGGGCCGCAAGGUUUCCUUUGCGCGCAGAUAUAGAUACCCCCCUUCCGAAUGGCACAAUGACGCGCAGCCUAUACACAUAGGGACAGGGGCUCGCACUAUACCCAAAACGGUUCAGCCCCUCCGUCCUUUCGGGUAACCUCUAACAAGCUAGAAAAGGUCUUCAUACUGAGCUAAAGCCAGAGCCAUUAUAGCCCUCAUGGUUGCACUGUUGUCCCGGGUGAUCACGUACAGACAAAUCAUCAAGUUGCUAAAAAGUCAUUUUUAUCAUUUAUUACUUAACAUUAAUCUAGUCACAGGAUCAUGGUCACAGAAUUAAAAUCCAAAUGCUAUACUUGCCUUAAACCAAAUGCUCUUGCUGAUCUUGAUCACUGAAGCACUCUUGAUCACCACGAAUUGCUCACCGACUAAUUCCGAUCAUCGAUCACAAACAUACGGCAACAAACAUACACGAAGCAAACAAGGCUACAAUUAGAACAGUACACCAAUCAUAUAAAAAUAGUAUGAAAAGUUUAUAAAAAGAUUCUACACAUCACUACGAUCACACGAACGUAAAUAUCACGAAAAUCGAAGCUAAAACGGAAAAUUUAUGAAUUUUCUAAGAUUUUAUAUAGAAAAAUAAUUGAUUAAAGUCACGAAAUUAUAAAGUUUCAAACUGAGAAAACAGUGUUACUAACAUGUAGAUAUUUUAAAGACGAGUCUAACGCAAUUUGAAUGGGUCAAAACGGAAUUAAAAUGAAUAUUUUAUGACCAAAAGAAAAUCAGUGGCAAACUUGUAAUUUCCUGAGCGAUUAGUGCUGGGCCGGUUCGGAAACAAAUAGCGUAAACCAGAUAGACGCUUUGGAGCGGGUUCAUUUGGAAAUACUUCAUAGAAAUACCUAGAUUAAGUUAAAUUAUAUUUGAGUUACAAAAUCGAGAUAAAACUAAUUUUAUUUUUUUUUUUUUGAAAAUGUAAAUUAAUACACACUAAAUAAUAUUACCGUCGAGAGUUUUAUAUUACAAAAGAAAUAGUCACAAGCUUAAUUUAUUUUAAUCAAGGGAGAUCAUAUUAAUGUUUGCUUAUAAAAUAUCAUGGCGCAGAACCUAUGUUUGCUUUUAAUUUAGAAAAGUGGUAGCAUGCACACUAAUCAAAUUAGUAGCUAAUUUAUUUAACUCAGAAACAUGUGACGUGAUUAUCACUGAAUUGGAAAGGAGGUUGGGCUGACCAUUAAUCAUUAUGUCACUUGCGGCAUGCAACGGAGCAAGCUGGCUUGAGUCCUUCCACUGGUUUGGCUUUGGAUUGCAGGAUGGUAAGAUGCAGCGACUGCUCAAAUAGAUAUCUAGUGUAGUCAGCUGAUGAGGAUUAUGCUUGAAUUAGGAUAGAUGCGUGAACUAAAAGCAAGGUUAUGCACGGUUCCUUACCAACAACAGAGAAGCACCAAAGAAGACAGCAGGCGUUGAUGACCAGACCUGCUGCUCAAACGAUUCUCCACCUCCGUGAUAAGAAUAGCGAUAGUAGAUGGAUCAGCAAUGCUGGGAUGAUAAAGAGAAAAAAAAAUUGAUUUACUACCUAGGGAUUCCUAAACCUGGGGCUUCCCUCAUGGUAGUUUUGGUGUGUGCUUAACCCAAAAAGUUGGUACAUAUAUAGGGAGAAAAACUCGUCACAUCCACAUCAAUUAGCAAUAUGGUACUAAUUGAUGUUGAAAUCUCCAUCUUUACUAAUAGGCCUAAUUAAUUAUUAAAGCCCAUUAGUAAAUAAAACAUUUGGUCUUUGAAUCAUGAUGACGUUGGAUUUGAGUAAAAUGAAGACAUUAUUAUUUUCGAAAUUAAUUAUUUUCAUGGAUAAAAUAAUUCUAGAAAAGUUCAUAAUUAGUAGUUAAGCCACGAAAAAUACUCCGAAAGCUUCGAAAAUUUGGAAAAAAUUCUCAGAGAUAUUAUAGAAUAUGAGGAAUCCAAAUAAAGUAUUUGGAGCUUAUGAUGAGAUAAUUUGGGGCAUCUAAAAUUAGAUUUAUGCUCAUAGAAAAGGCUAGAAAAAUACCCGAGAAGUUUGUAGAUAUUGCUUAAUGGACGAGAAACUUAAACGAGUGACUUAGGUUUGAAAGAAAAGAUUCUGAGAGACCCUGACCGAAAUCUUGAGCUAAGAGACAAGGAAUUUGAUUGUAGAAAAAGAUAAAUACGUGUCGAAUAAGGAAGAUCGAUCUACUAAAUGUAUUUUAAAUAUUUUUCUUACUAUCAACACACAAAGGAGCAAUAAGCAGACAUCACCCAAAAUCAUAUGCAUCAGCAUGUAUACACAACCAUGUUGCUAAGCCUUAUGAUAAACUUUAAUCUAAUGAAAAAUAUAAUUUUUUUCCUAUAUUUUCAUGAGCACAAAAAAAAAUACAAAACUAAAUCGAUUUUCAUCUAUUUUGAAAGGAGCAAAUUUUAGGGUGUUACAAAUACGCUUUCAGAUAAUUACAGAAUUGCCAUCGAAUUUGUUUUGCUUAUAAAAUGUUCAUUUUAACUCCGUUUUUGUCCGUUCAAAUUUCGUUGGAUUCGUAUUUACAAGCUCUACAUGUUAGAAGUAAUAUUUUACAGUUUUGAAACUUUUAAAUUCUGUAGUAGCAUUUAAUUAAUUAUUUCUCUAUAGGAAAUCGUAGAAAACUCAUAAAUUCUCUGUUUUAAUUCCGAUUUUCGUGAACUUUACGUUUCUGUGAUCGUAGUGCUGCGUAGAAUAUUUUGAUAAACUUUUAUAUUUGUGUUACCACUGUUUGGUGUAAUGUUCUAAUUAUAGCUUGUUUGCUUCGUGUAUGAUUGUCUGCAUUGGAAUGCGUGUUGUUGAUUGAUGAUCGAGUAUAGACGGUGAGCGGUACGUUGGUGAUCAAGACCAAGACUUUGAGGACCAGCAGGCUCAGGAGAGCUUUGAUCAAGGCAAGUAUAACUUGGGAUCAUCCUUGUUACCUAUACACACUUAACACAUUAUAUAUCAUAUGCAUGCUUUCACCUUGAUGACCUUAGCAAAAUCAUAGAUGAUUGUUAUUCUGAAUUUCUUGUUACCUAUUUAGAUAUGCAUUUGGGUAGUCUUGCUAGUGCUUGAUUAUUAAUCCAUGAUCUUGUAACAUGAAUAUUUGAAUAUACAAUAAACAAUAAAAUAAGCUUUCUAGCAACUUGAACAUAAAGGGUGGAAAGAACUCUGGCUUUUGCUGGAUUGAUCUUGACCCUCCAUAAGGACUUAUCCCUUGGCAAAAGCUAGGACAACUCGUACAACCAUGAGGGCUAUAUGGCUCUGGCUUUAGUCAAGUUUGAGUAAUUUUUCUAGCUUGUUAGAGGUUACCCGAAAGGGCGGAGGGGCUGAACCGUUUUGGAUAUAGUGCGAGCCCCUGUCCCUAUGUGUAUAGGCUGCGCGUCAUUGUGCCAUUUGGAAGGAAGAUAUCUAUAUCUGCGCGCAAAGGAAACCUUGCGGCCCUAACAUGUUAGACGAACCUUUGAAAGACUUCAUAAUGAACCCUGCCGACCUUCCUUGGAAGUGGGUUAAGCGGCUGAUCACCUCGGGCGAAAGGGUAAAUCAUAACUCAUGGGUAAAGAUGUACAAUCUCUGCAGAGUGUUAAAUCUGGUAUACUAGCCGUGCCCACGGAUACGGGCGGCCCGGAAAACUGACGGAAUAGAUGGACACUGAUGAAUGUGAAUAAUGACAAUAAAUGAUGGUUUAUUAUGUUGUUUAUAUGUGUUAUUCUUAAUUCUUGUAUACAUUGAUCAUGUGGUUAUGGGAUUUAUUAUGCUACCUUGACUUUUGCUAUCCAAUAAUUAAACAUGUUAUCCACUAUUAAAAGCUAAAUGCAGUCAAACCAGUGUCAGCUAUUUGAGCCUCAUGAACCCGUGGUUAUACUUGUUGAGUACGAUAUGUGCUCACUCUUGCAAUUUCCCAAUACCCCAGGAUAUGAUAAUGAAGAUGACUGGAAUGAGGAUUACCGUUAUGAGUACUAGACUUGGAGUCAACCAGUCAAUGUUGUCCCUGUGUGGAGCUUCCGUCGAGAGCGUUGUUUACUUCAUGCUAUCAUUUUUGUAUGAGACUAUGUGAUUUAUUAUUGUUCCGCUAUGUAAUAAACACUGCAAUGGUACAUUUGAGAUUUGUCUACUUAUGUGUGCGACUAUUCCUGGGGCACAUAUGAGUCUUUUAUGCAUCCUAUUUUGUUCUUAAAAUAUGGGUGUGACAAAUUGGUAUCAAAGCUUUGUUGACUGUCGGACGCAAGCCUAGUUAGAAAUUGGCCGUCUUAAGGUUUUAAAAUUGCUAUAAAAUCCUUGCUCUAUAAACCUUGAUAUUUUCUUCUACACUAUAUCCUAUUCAUCUUCACCUUGUUGCUUAUUUUAAAGACUUGUUCUCAUCCCCACUCCUUGUUUUGAAUAUGCUUUUAGAACUCUUCUUACCACCUUCUAACAUCAUUGAAAUAGGAGUUAUAGGAUCUUUACCCUUAAUAGGAAGAGAACGAUAGUACGGUAAGUUGAGUCAAUGCUUGAAGUGUGAACCUUUGAUGCUUGGUUUGGUUUGUUAUUAUGCCUAUGUUUGAUUUGGAUCUUUGUAAUGAGUGUAAUGAUCUUAUGGAAUUUUCUCCAUAAUUUCAUUUAGUCUAUAGGCCUAAGGCAUAAGGAUUAAUGAACUAAAUAGUGGGGUUUGGUUAAAAUUCUGCUUCUAUCUCUUACUGUUUUCUGGAGCAGUCUGCAGUAAAUCUGGUAUAUCUCAAAUUCAGUUCGUGCAAUGUUCAUCAAAUUUUUCUGGGAACCACUAGACUUCAUGAUCUUUCCAAUGCAGCAAGAAUGAAAUUAGUAUCUAUUAUGGUCUGUGAGAUAUAACCGUUCAAAGUUGAGGUUUCUGCGCAGUCUGGAAUUCUGGAACAGUCUCAGUUGUACCCAGUUUUUGAUUAACCUAACUUUGGAACCUGUUAAUAUGAUCUAAACGAAAGUUGUAGACAAUUUCUUUAUUUUUCCAACGGUGUACAACAUGUAUCCUUUUGAAUUCUGGAACUUGAGAUAUGACUGGUUUUCUGAUCUGCUGAUGUUGGAUGUUACCCAGAAAAUUUCAGAUUCCGUUAACUCUUGUAAUUGUCAUGUUGGACAUUACUAAGAUGUGUUUAUAUACCUUGGAAUGCAGAUGGCAGCAAGGGGAAGAGGCAGAGGCAGAGGCCAUGGCAAUGGCAAUGGUGGCAAUGGCCCAAUCACCGUGGAGGAACUCAUGCAAACCCAAAAUGAGAUGAUGCACGUCUUCAUGCAGCACUUACAGCAGCAACCUCCACCAACACCACCACCUGUCCAUGUGAGAGAUAAGCGUGGUGAAUUUAUGAAGGGAAGACCUCCGGUGUUUACACACUCCGCUGAUCCUCUGGAGGCAGAUGAUUGGCUUCGUGCUGUAGAGAGGCAACUGAACAUAGCCCAGUGCAAUGAUAUGGAAAAAGUGUUGUAUGCUUCUGGACAACUUCAGGGUGCAGCUCAGACAUGGUGGGAAUCGUAUCAAGCUGCUCGUCCCAACAAUGCUCCUCCUGUCAUAUAGCUGGAAUUCUGUAGAGACUUCAGAGCACGACAUAUAAAUGAGGGAAUGAUGGAGCUCAAGCAAGAAGAAUUCAGAUCACUCAGGAUGGGCUCCAUGACAGUGGCAGAAUAUCAUGACACUUUUGAGCAGUUGGCUCGUUAUGCUCCGAACGACGUCAGGGAAGAUGCUGAUAAGCAGCGUCUAUUCAUGAAAGGUCUUUACUACGAGCUCAGGUUGCAGUUGGCUGGAAACACCUAUCCUACCUUCCAGGCACUUGUGAAUCGUGCCAUUGUGCUUGAUAAUAUGCGUAAGAGUCAGGAUAAGAAGAGAAGGAUGCUGGCACAAGGAUCUGGGAGCAACAACCGUCAGCGUUUCAGUUCUCAGCAAGGCUAUCAGCAGAGGUUCCAAGGGCCAGUUAGUCAGUGGAACCGCAACCAGCAACCUCAGCGUUUCCAGAAUCAAUCUCAGAGUGGGAACCAACGUCCUUCAUUUCAGCAACGUAACUAUAAUCAACAGCAGCAUGGUCAGCAGUCACCUCGCUCAGGGAACUCAAAUGCCAACUCCACAAAAAGAAUUGCUUCUAACGCUCAUACAAGGUGUUUCCGUUGUGGGAAAGAGGGACAUAUGUCAUAUGAUUGCCCGAAGAAGCUCAACAAGCCGAACAACAACCAGAAGUCUACUGCUUAUGCGGCAACAGUGAAUAAUGUGGCUACAGAGACAGUUCAGGAGGGACCAGAGAUCAUGAUGGGUACGUUCAGCAUCAACUCUAUCCCUGCUACAGUUUUAUUUGAUUCUAGAGCUUCGCAUACAUUCAUAUCACAAGCAUUUGUUAGAGUUCAUAGGGUUCCACUAGUUGCAAUGAAAACCCCUAUGCUAGUUAAUUCACCGGGUGGGACUAUACCAGUUUCUUUAUGUUGCCCCUCAGCAAGUCUUUCUUUAAGGGGGGUAGAUUUCCCUAUCAGUCCCAUGGUUAUGAGAACUUCAGGCAUAGAUGUGAUCUUGGGUUUGGAUUGGAUGAAGCAACAUGAGACAAAUAUUAAUUGCAAAGAGAGAGUAGUGGCUCUGACAACACCAAAGGGAGAACGAAUCAGUGUUAAUGUAACAGUGCAAGCACCACUCACAGCCAAAGUGAACCAACUGAAUGAUGAUGUUGAUCCUCAGAAUCUGGUAGUGGAUGAGUUUCCGGAUGUCUUUCCAGAUGAAUUGCCAGGUAUGCCACCUGACCGAGACAUUGAAUUUAUUAUUGAAUUACUACCUGGUACUGCACCCAUAGCUAAAAGACCAUAUAGAAUGGGGGUUAAUGAACUAGAAGAACUUAAGAAACAAAUUAAGGAAUUGCAAGAUAAAGGGUUCAUUCGUCCUAGUUCAUCACCAUGGGGUGCACCAGUUAUCUUUGUUGAUAAGAAGGAUGGUAGUCAGAGGAUGUGUGUUGAUUAUCGGUCACUUAAUGAGGUCACUAUCAAGAAUAAAUACCCAUUGCCUAGGAUUGAUGACUUGUUUGAUCAACUAAGAGGUGCUUGUGUGUUCUCUAAGAUUGAUUUGCGUUCUGGUUAUCAUCAAUUGAAGAUUCAGAAUUCAGAUAUACCAAAGACAGCUUUCACAACAAGGUAUGGGUUGUAUGAGUAUACAGUUAUGUCUUUUGGUUUGACCAAUGCACCAGCUUACUUUAUGUACAUGAUGAAUAAAGUAUUUAUGGAGUAUCUUGAUAAGUUUGUGGUGGUCUUUAUUGAUGAUAUUCUGGUAUUCUCUAAAACCAAGGAAGAACAUGCUGAACACCUAAGAUUGGUCUUACAGAAACUUAGAGAACAUAAGUUGUAUGCUAAGCGUAGUAAAUGUGAGUUUUGGUUGGAGGAAGUUUCUUUUCUCGGUCGUGUUGUCUCUAAUGGUGGUAUUGCAGUGGAUCCUAGUAAGGUGAAAGAUGUGUUGAACUGGAAACCACCUACAGAUGUAAGUGAAAUUCGCAGUUUUCUUGGUUUAGCUGGUUACUAUCGUAUAUUCAUCGAAGGGUUCUCAAAACUUGCCAAGCCUAUGACUGCUCUGUUGGAGAAGAAUGCGAAGUUUGUAUGGUCUGAUAAGUGUCAAGCUAGUUUUGAGGAGUUUAAGAAGAGAUUGACUACUGCACCUGUGUUGGUAUUACCAGAUCUGAGUAAGAGUUUCUCUAUCUAUUGUGAUGCUUCUCGGCUGGGUUUGGGUUGUGUUCUUAUGCAAGAAGGUAGAGUUGUUGCUUAUGCAUCUAGACAGUUGAGGAAACAUGAACUGAAUUAUCCUACUCAUGAUUUGGAGUUAGCAGCUGUGGUUCAUGCAUUGAAGAUUUGGAGACACUAUUUGAUUGGGCAUAAGAGUGACAUAUACACUGAUCAUAAGAGUUUGAAGUAUAUCUUCACCCAGACCGACCUGAACUUGAGGCAACGAAGGUGGUUGGAACUGAUAAAGGAUUAUGAUUUGGAAGUGCAUUAUCAUCCUGGAAAGGCGAACGUCGUAGCUGAUGCACUUAGCAGAAAGAAAUAUGCUAAUGAGCUUCGGGCGACACCUGAAUCUGAGGAGUUGUGUGCUGAAUUUGCAUAUUUGAACUUGGGGAUUGUAGUAAAUGCUAUGGAAAUUGAGGUCGCUCCUACUCUAGAGGAAGAGAUAUUGAAAGGACAGUUAGAAGAUGAGAAACUAAAGGAGAUAGCACAGAAUGUGGUACUAGGCAAAGCACCAGGAUUCAGAAUAGAUGACAAUGGUGUAUUGUGGUUUGGAAAAAGAAUAUGUGUUCCUGAAGUGAAGGCUAUUCGUGAUAUGAUUCUGAGAGAGGCUCAUGAGUCAGCAUAUUCCAUUCAUCCUAGUAGUACUAAGAUGUAUCUAGAUCUGAAACAGAAGUAUUGGUGGUACGGGUUGAAGAGAGAUGUAGCUGAGUAUGUUGCUUUGUGUGAUACUUGUCAGCGAGUGAAGGCUGAACACCAGAGGCCAGCUGGACUGUUGCAACCAAUGAAGAUUCCUGAAUGGAAGUGGGAAGAAGUAGGCAUAGAUUUCAUAGUGGGUUUACCUCGUACACAGAGAGGAUAUGAUUCAAUAUGGGUAAUAGUGGAUCGAUUGACUAAAGUUGCUCACUUCUUGCCAGUCAAAACCACUGAUUCAGGAGCUCGACUAGCAGAAUUGUAUAUGGAGCGGAUAGUUUGUUUGCAUGGGGUGCCUAAGAAGAUUGUAUCUGAUAGAGGCACUCAGUUCACCUCUACUUUUUGGAAAGCAGUGCAUGAUUCCUUGGGGACAAAGUUGAAUUUUAGUACAGCAUAUCAUCCACAGACAGAUGGACAGACUGAGAGGAUCAAUCAGAUACUGGAGGAUAUAUAAAGAGCUUGUGCUUUGCAGUAUGAAACUAGUUGGGAUAAGAGUUUGCCAUAUGCAGAGUUUUCCUACAACAACAGUUAUCAGCAAAGUCUUAAAAUGGCACCGUUCGAGGCACUGUAAGGCCGUAAGUGCAGGACACCUUUGUUUUGGAAUCAGAUAGGAGAGACUCAGGUAUUUGGUACAGAUGUGCUUAGACAUGCAGAACAACAAGUGCGGGCUAUCCGGGAUAAUCUGAGAGUUGCUCAGUCUCGUCAGAAAAGUUAUGCAGAUACACGUAGGAGAGAACUAGCUUUCGAGGAAGGCGAUUAUGUCUAUCUGAAAGUGUCACCUAUGCGGAGUGUGAAGAGGUUUAAUAUGAAAGGAAAGCUAGCUCCAAGGUAUGUUGGCCCGUUUAAAGUUUUGCAAAGGUGUGGAGAAGUAGCGUAUCAGCUAGAGUUGCCUGAAAGUUUAUCUGGUGUGCCUGAUGUGUUCCAUGUGUCACAACUUAAGAAGUGUUUGCGUGUACCUGAGGAGCAAAUACCAUUGGAAGAGCUUUCUGUUAAAGGUGAUCUCACUUAUGAAGAGUAUCCGGUCAGGAUAUUGGAGACAACUGAAAGAGUCACCAGAAGUCGGGUGAUUAGAAUGUGCAAAGUGCAGUGGAAUCGGUAUUCAGAAGCGGAAGCAACUUAGGAAAGAGAGGACGAUCUGAGGAAAUCAUAUUCAUAUUUAUUUGAGUAAGCCCUGUUCAAUCUCGAGGACGAGAUUCUUUUAAGGGGGUAGAGUUUGUAACACCCAAAAUCUGAUUUUCAAGUAAUAGGAUUUAAUUUGAUUAAUUUGAAUAUUUUGUGAGCAUUUAAAUUAGUAAACAAAUAAAUUUUUGGUUGAAAUUAAAAUUCAUCAUAAGAUUAGAAACAUGUUUUGUGUUCAUGCUGGAGCACAUCUUAUUCUAUGCUUGCUGUUUUUUUUGUGUGAGAAUUUAUUUGCAUUCAAAACAUCUUUUUGAAAAGGCUUUGGAAAGUAAAAUAAAAAAAAAAGAAAAGAAAACCCCAGCCAACCCCUGGGCCCAAUCCCCCUCACUCGGCCCAUUCCCACUCCCGGCCCGCGCGCGCACACUGAUCCCCUCCCUCUCUUCUUCUCUGGCCGACAGCCAGGGGUCCCGUACCUCUUUCACUGAUGCGUGGGGUCCACGUGACAGCGCCCUGGCUUCCUUCCUUUCUUCCUCUCGGGACCGAGCAGGACUCACCGGGAGCCACCAAAUCCGGUUCGACCCCGCUUUCUGCGGGAUUUGAUUUUUCCGAACCCCUUUUUAGCCCUUGGAGAACCCCCUGCGACCCUCUCUUCCAUCUACGCGCGUUGGUAGCCAACCUCGCAGCUCCCCGUCGCCGUGUUGGAUCUCGCCGAAACAGAAACGGAGCCGCCGCCGCGACCGACCUCCUUCGUCCCUUUCCAGCCCGAGGAAACCUUUUGCGCGGCUUCGGAGUAAGCUCCUCUCUCCCCUGGCGGUUUCCUUUCAUCCAGAGACUCUCGGGAAUGCGAGAUCGAGGAGCUCCGGCAAGCUCCUGGGCGCCGGCCAUGGCGUCCGCCGUGGAGGGCUCGCCGCCGGUCGGCCGGAUUCAUCCCAAAGCCCUCCCAGCCGUCCAAAUCACGAUCGACGCUCAAGAUUAGAAGUUACCCCUUCGGGGCGAAAAUUCUUAAAGAAACCCUCGGCUUUCUCUUAUUUGCUCCGCGGUCCUUGGCGCCCCAAGUAGGUUUACGCCUUCCAAAUUCAGAAAGCGUAUUCUCUGCAGGUUAGACUAAAAUACGCUUUCAGAUAAUUACAGAAUUGCCAUCGAAUUUGUUUUGCUUAUAAAAUGUUCAUUUUAACUCCGUUUUUGUCCGUUCAAAUUUCGUUGGAUUCGUAUUUACAAGCUCUACAUGUUAGAAGUAAUAUUUUACUGUUUUGAAACUUUUAAAUUCUGUAGUAGCAUUUAAUUAAUUAUUUCUCUAUAGGAAAUCGUAGAAAACUCAUAAAUUCUCCGUUUUAAUUCCGAUUUUCGUGAACUUUACGUUUCUAUGAUCGUAGUGCUGCGUAGAAUAUUUUGAUAAACUUUUAUAUUUGUGUUACCACUGUUUGGUGUAAUGUUCUAAUUAUAGCUUGUUUGCUUCGUGUAUGAUUGUCUGCAUUGGAAUGCGUGUUGUUGAUUGAUGAUCGAGUAUAGACGGUGAGCGGUACGUUGGUGAUCAAGACCAAGACUUUGAGGACCAGCAGGCUCAGGAGAGCUUUGAUCAAGGCAAGUAUAACUUGGGAUCAUCCUUGUUACCUAUACACACUUAACACAUUAUAUAUCAUAUGCAUGCUUUCACCUUGAUGACCUUAGCAAAAUCAUAGAUGAUUGUUAUUCUGAAUUUCUUGUUACCUAUUUAGAUAUGCAUUUGGGUAGUCUUGCUAGUGCUUGAUUAUUAAUCCAUGAUCUUGUAACAUGAAUAUUUGAAUAUACAAUAAACAAUAAAAUAAGCUUUCUAGCAACUUGAACAUAAAGGGUGGAAAGAACUCUGGCUUUUGCUGGAUUGAUCUUGACCCUCCAUAAGGACUUAUCCCUUGGCAAAAGCUGGGACAACUCGUACAACCAUGAGGGCUAUAUGGCUCUGGCUUUAGUCAAGUAUGAGUAAUUUUUCUAGCUUGUUAGAGGUUACCCGAAAGGGCGGAGGGGCUGAACCGUUUUGGAUAUAGUGCGAGCCCCUGUCCCUAUGUGUAUAGGCUGCGCGUCAUUGUGCCAUUUGGAAGGGAGGUAUCUAUAUCUGCGCGCAAAGGAAACCUUGCGGCCCUAACAUGUUAGACGAACCUUUGAAAGACUUCGUAAUGAACCCUGCCGACCUUCCUUGGAAGUGGGUUAAGCGGCUGAUCACCUCGGGCGAAAGGGUAAAUCAUAACUCAUGGGUAAAGAUGUACAAUCUCUGCAGAGUGUUAAAUCUGGUAUACUAGCCGUGCCCACGGAUACGGGCGGCCCGGAAAACUGACGGAAUAGAUGGACACUGAUGAAUGUGAAUAAUGACAAUAAAUGAUGGUUUAUUAUGUUGUUUAUAUGUGUUAUUCUUAAUUCUUGUAUACAUUGAUCAUGUGGUUAUGGGAUUUAUUAUGCUACCUUGACUUUUGCUAUCCAAUAAUUAAACAUGUUAUCCACUAUUAAAAGCUAAAUGCAGUCAAACCAGUGUCAGCUAUUUGAGCCUCAUGAACCCGUGGUUAUACUUGUUGAGUACGAUAUGUGCUCACUCUUGCAAUUUCCCAAUACCCCAGGAUAUGAUAAUGAAGAUGACUGGAAUGAGGAUUACCGUUAUGAGUACUAGACUUGGAGUCAACCAGUCAAUGUUGUCCCUGUGUGGAGCUUCCGUCGAGAGCGUUGUUUACUUCAUGCUAUCAUUUUUGUAUGAGACUAUGUGAUUUAUUAUUGUUCCGCUAUGUAAUAAACACUGCAAUGGUACAUUUGAGAUUUGUCUACUUAUGUGUGCGACUAUUCCUGGGGCACAUAUGAGUCUUUUAUGCAUCCUAUUUUGUUCUUAAAAUAUGGGUGUGACAUGAUUUCAGUUAUUGUUUUAAUUAGUUAAUCCAUUGGCUAAUCUAGGUUUUAACAAUGAACAUGUUUCUAAUCGAAAUUACGUCAACAACUUCGCAGUAAAAAUCUUUAUUUCAUAGAGAAGAGUCAAUAGUUCAAACGUCAAACGCGAAUAAUAUUGUAUCUAUUAUUUGUUUUUAUUUUUUGUAGAAAAAAUACUUGAGCAGAUAAAAGGAUACUAUCAAAAAAAUCCAAAACUAAAAAGAGUAGAUGGAAGCCAAAAGAAAAUUCUGACUGCUGAACUACACACGAACACAAACCAAAGAAAUGAAAAUUAGUAAAAGAUUAGAUCCAAACUGAAGUGGACUUUGAAAAGAGGAUUAUUGCUAGUUAAAAAACCAGAAUCCAUAUAGAGAUCAGAGUUGGACGAAAAACAAUUAUGGCAGAAAUUUUGUCUUUUUAUUAUUAGGUAAAGGUAUAGAUUGUGUAUCUUCUUAAAUGGACCAACAGUCUCUAAAACUUACUUAGUAUUUUUAAGAGAUAGAGCCACUUUUUACCGCCUCCGUAAAUCAGAAGUACAGUCGUUUCUCCUCUAAUCAUUUCUUUAGGAGAGACACCAAACGAGAGGCAAGUGCAAUAUCACGCUGGCUAUGCGAUAAUGGUUGGGUGUCUUAUUCUAUGCCCAUUGGCUGCGAAUCUUGUAAGUUUAAUCAUUCAUUGUAGUUUUCCUUACAUGUGUAAAGGUUAAUAAAGAGGAUGAAAAUGAUGUAUAUAUAUUAAAACAAUUGUCCCUUUACACGCUUUUGCAGUUUAAUUACACCAAGCAAGGCAUAUAUAUAUAGAGAGUGCCGCAUAUACUCAUUGUUUGUGAGGAUAAUUCUCACGUGAAUCGAUAACAUGGUGGUGGACGUCGUUAACCACGUGGUGCCUAUCAAUUUCGACCAUCCUUUAUUUGGAUUUCGAAUAAAACGAUCACUGGAGAACGAAUAUUAUGGUCCUGAUGGGGAUAGCUUCGUUUUUCUUUUCUCUUUUGGAAUUUUUUUUUGGACCAAAGCAUGUGGUUUAGGUUGGAGCAUAUAAUGCCUAGCUGGCCUCUCUCUUUGUAGUUUGUAGGUCUUGUUUAGCAUGUACAUUAUUAAGUUAGGUUCGUACAGAUUUUGCCGUUCCAAUGACACCUUAUGAAUAUGAUUAUCUUAUAUUGCAACAACUUUAUUACUGCCUAACACCUUCAGUUUGUCACACUUAUAAACCAGUGGCAUUUGAGAGGCUAUAUAUAUGUGACAUGAUUUUCUGUACCAUGCAUGGGAUCUAACUUUUUUUUUUGCGAAACUCAUGGUAUCUAACUUUUAAGCUUAGGUUACGUUUUGUUUUACACGAUGUAAUAUUCACACACAUCACGCUAACACGUCUCUAAUGUAGGUGCCUUUCUUGUCUGAUUCUAGCAUAGUGACACACACUCACGUGGGUGUGCAUCCUAGGCCUUGUUUUCUUACCACAAAUUUUGCAAAAUUUUUCACAUUUCUCGUCAUAUCGAAUCUUACGGCAUAUGCAUAGAGCAUUAAAUAUAGAUUAAAAAUAACUAAAUUGCAUAGUUUACCUGUAAUUUGCGAGACGAAUCUUUUGAGCCUAGUUAGUCCAUGAUUAGAUAAUAUUUAUCAAAUACAAACGAAAGUAUUACACUGUCUAUUUUGCAAAAAAAAACAUUUGUAACUAAACAAGACCCUAGCACAUACGGGUAAACAAAGUUUUUAAAUUUUGUUGUAAACUAUUGUAUUAUCUCUGUUAAAAAAAUAUAAUUCUAGAUGUAUACUAAGGUAAAAUGUCUAAGUUUGACCAAAUAAAAAAUAUCAAUAUCUAUAAUGGUAAAUAAAUAUAUUAGAAAAAUAUUUUAUGAUGAAACUAAUAGUACUUCUACCUAUUUAUAGUACAACAAAUAUAAGUAUAUAAAUUGGUCAAACUUGAUAAACUUUAACAUAAUAUAUUAUACUCAUAUUCUGUAACCUAUUUGUUGUGAUGAUACAUGACUGCAGGAGAGAGUGGAGGGAAAUUGAAGCACUAAAAUUGACGGCCCUGAUUAGCAGCGUUAGUGAUACUAGUUAAUUGGCAGUAUGGCACGUUUGUUUGGCGCGAUGGUGCUCGUACGAAACGCAUGAUGACCAGUCCACACACCGAUGAUGACCAGCUAGCGUGUUCCGUUCCGUGCUCAUCAGCUGUGCUAGCUUGCUGCUCUAAGUCGUGUUAUCCUCCCUCUUUCAGUUGGGUUCCUGGGGAUGCACAUUUCUUAGGCCUUGUUUAGUUUUCAAAAAAAUUUAAUAUUCUCCAUCACAUCGAAUCUUAUGCCACAUGUAUGGAGUAUUAACAAAAACAAAAACUAAUUUGUAAUUUACGAGAUGAAUUUUUUGAGCCUAGUUAAUCCAUGAUUGAACAAUAAUUAUCAAAUACAAACGAAAAUACUACAGUAACUAAAAUCCAAAAUUUUUGCCAACUAAACAAGGCCUUAAUCCGUGUUGGAUUAGGGCUACACGAUUGCUUUACUAAACAAGGCGUGUCCUGCAUCCUGUCACACGGUUGCUUUACUUUGCUUGGGACGUUACGUCACUCGUGCUAGCUUUUGCUGUUCAUCAUGAGCAGAGAAUAUCGAGCUAGAAAGUGCUGGCUGGCAUGCAUGGCUCCCUCGGUCGCGGAGGACCAUGCAUAUGCGCCAUCAAACUUUCGAGAUAGACAACACAGCGUUAGUACAGUGACGUUUUGUACUGGCUGUCAACAAUGGUUUGGGCUGUGUUCGUGGUUUUUACCGCGCGCCAAAUGCAUUUUUACUAGCUAGUACCUAGUAGUAUAGCUAUCAAAACUAUUUUCACAAGUGCCCAUCGAUGUAAAAUUAAAGACGUUGAUGACUUUAUGUCAAGUGCUAACAUAUGUGAAGUCAAAGAAAACAAAGUAAUUUGAUCCAGAAACCAUAAGCAUGUGUUGGUUGGGUGGCUAACUCCCAAUCAAACUCUAGAUAGCUACCUUCUAGCUAUUUGGUUGCUUUUAAACAGCCCAAAGCCAGACCUAGAUAAGCCACUUUAGAGGUCCUAGCCUGGCUCUAGUAAAAUGAGAUGGGGGUCCAUUUUUUGCUAGCUAGGCCUGGCUAAGCUGCGACCGAAGUUCUCGUCACCUCUUGGCAGCGCCACCUAUUCCGACUCCUCCGACGAAUGCCACCACCUCCUCCACCAGAUUGGCCAGCCGCUCCCCUCCUCCCCCGCCCCUCCCCUUCCCGCAAAGGAACCGGCCAUUCCACGGCAUGCGGCGGCGGCCGUGGGGCAAGUACGCGGCGGAGAUCCGCGACCGGGGGUCGCGGGGAAGCGUCGCUGGCUCGGAACCUUCGACACCGCCGAGGAGGCCGCCGCCGUCUACGACGCCGCCGCGCUCUGUAUCCGCGGCCGCCGCGCCGUCACCAACUUCCCCUCCUCCCCAGCCGCCGUCGCGCUGGCGCCUGCCCUUGCCAUGCCUUGUUCCACACCGUCCCUAGCCCCUGAGGCUGAGACCUCCUCCGCCUCGACGGUGGUCGAUACCGGGGCUCACCGGCUUCAUCUGCUGCAGCUCGCGGCCGAAGAGAGAGGAGCGAGCUCAUCGGUUGCUGUCUGGGUGGAAGGAGGGGGACUCACAUCUGCGAGGCGUGAGUGAUCUCGAGCCUGACCUCCUCUGCUCCUUCUGUAGUACUCCCUCCUCCCCUACUUUCUAGAUAGUGGAGGAUUUUAUGGUGGUGAUGUUGUAAGCCAUGAGAGCAGGAUUGAAGCAGAGGGCCGUCACCAGUUGUCGUCGAGAGGAACAAGGUGAAGGAGGUAAAAUCACCAUCGUAGAGAAGCUAAUCCAACCAACCAAACAAAAACUAAUUAACUUAGCCAGGCUUAGCUAGCACAUGACAAACCAAACACUACUAGGGUGGCUUAACUUGGACAGGCUAACUCAAAUCUGGCUUAUCUUUCUAGCCAGGCUAGUUGGAGCCAAGGGCGAAGCUGAAAUAGAAUUUAUGGUGGUGCACACAAGCAUAGCCUUGUAGUAACAUCACCAUUUGAGAGCUUAUUAACAUGGUGAAAAUAGGUUACUUAAUGCUACACUAUUUUUCUACCAUGGUGCUCGUGCACCACUAUAGAUGAACGUGGCUUCACCUCUAGCUGGAGCCACACAACCAAACACACCCAAUAUAGACUACAAUAUGAGAAAACUCGGGUGGCUAGCUUUUUGAGCUCUGGAGUAUCCCUUCUGCCCACACAAAAAGUUCUCCAGUGGGCCUUUGGGUCGAAUGCUCCAGGCAGGCUAAGCUGGGCCACUCGGCGGUGCAAGCGGGGAAGGAAGAGUGGACGGAAAUGCCGGCCGGCAGCAUGGGAAAAUCGGGCCAGAGAAGAUUUCAGACCGAGCUGGCCGGGCCACUGGGCCGUGAUGUCGGGAAAUCAAGAAAGGAUACGGUAGUAGCACUGGUCUACAUUUAUUAGACGUAUGCAUUUCUGUAGCUCACAGUCGGCAUUUUCAACGGCUCAGAAGUUCGAAUUCCAGAAAAAUUUUUAAUGAUAAUAUAACGACAUAUACUCCAGUAUAGCCCUAUAUAUACUCCAGUAUAGCCCUAUAUGAACUUGGUGGUAAUAUAACCUUAACGGAUGCCACGAGUAAUUUUUUCUUGAUGCAAUAUAAUAAAAUUUUUACAACCGAGAACAAUAGAGUUUCAUCAUGGCUAUAUUCACAACUACCAACUAUUUUUAGAACAGUGCAACACCAAACUCUACCAACUAUUUUUAGAACCGUAGCAACACCAAACUACUCUCGCAUCGAAGAGUCAAUAAUAACACACAAUUGCCCACUAGUUGUGGCAAUAUUACGUGUACAUGCAGCCACCAUUUCAACCGUACUGACAACACCUAUCUCCCACAACAGAGCAUACGACUAACGCCACAUGCCAUUUUGGUGGCCAUAAGGCCCACAUGUGCUUCCAAUAUAUGAUAUCAGUUAAGUUGUCAUAGAACCCCAUAUUGUAACUAAAUGUGUGGUUUUGUGAAAACAAGUGGUGCUAGAAGGGUCAAAUUCUUAUAGUGAUACUUCAAAACACUCAAGAAAGUAAGUUCAGCAAGUGUGAGUUUUGGCUCAUAAAAGUUUCUUUUUUGGGUCAUGUCUUGUCUCACAAUAGAGUGGUCGUCGACCCAAGAAAGAUUCUCGAUGGUGCCUGACUAUGAGUCGGUGGCAUGUGCAUCCCCAAGUGCGACCAUGAUGAUGGCGGCGACCGCACGCCCACCCUAUGGACAACGGCGAUCCAUGGUGACUACGUCAGUGCCACAAGCCACAAGGUGGGUAGCCUCGAUCGAUGAUGACCAGAGUACGCAUGAGGAGUCGACAGGAACUUGCUUGUGGUGGGGACGGUGAGCCACAACGCUGCUGCAUGGACGAUGAUGCCAGCCUCAAGGUAGUCUGCUGCCAUAUCCUUUAGGGCUUUGGUUUGGAUAAAAUUGGGAAAAUCUUGGGGAUUCAGGGAUCUAGGGUUUUGGAUGUUGGGAAUUUGAAGUGCUUAGUGUUCUUUCUUUCAAAUCGCCUCUUGCGUGAUGAUGUGACACACCACCAAAAACCAAAGGUAGGCACUAAUGUGCUUCGUAACAUGAACUAGGUAUAAACAAGAGAACUGUUGGCCCUAACUGUUAAACGGUAUUGCGUCCAGGUGCAGGAUAGCGCAGAUGCUAUUCUUGUAAUCCAAGUCAUGCGUGUGCGUGAGUCUUGGAAGAUAGAUGGGUUAGUUGAGGGUUUGUAGAUAUUCUUGUUGUAACAAACUUAUUGUUGUAAGCCACGCCGGUGGGCUGUUCCCGGCUUCUAUAUAACACAUAACCGAGACCCUGGGAGGGCAACUCGUUCAAUCAAUCUUCACAUGGUAUUCAGAGCCUCUUUCCUAGCGGAGUUAGAUCAUGGCAUCCUCUUCCGCUGUAUCGCUUGUUCCUCCUUAGGGUUCUCGCCCGUCAGCGAGAAGCUGACUCGCGCCAACUAUCAAGCAUGGAGCGCAUAGGUCCUCUCGGCGGUCAAGGGGGCGCAGCUCUACAGCUUCAUCAGUCCACGGCGGCUCCACCACCCGAGUUCCUUGAUGUCAAGGGUGAUGACAAUAAUGCCGAGCCAAAGCCCAAUCCCAAAUAUGAUAUUUGGGUUGCAAAGGACCAACAGGUCCUGAGUUUCAUCCUUUCCAAUCUUGGGAAGGAGAUCCUUGCUCAGGUGUCUUCAGAGAAGACUGCAGCCGCGGCAUGGGUCGCGAUCGAAGCCAUGCACGCGUCCCAGUCAAGGGCGCGGAUCAUCGCUACAAGGAUGGCCCUUGCAACUGCAACCAAGGGGUCCUCCUCUGUGGCAGAUUACUUCGGCAAGAUGAAAGGCCUCGCAGAUGAGAUGGCAUCUGCGGGAAAAAGCUUGAAGAUGAUGAGCUUGUCUCGUAUAUUCUCACUGGGCUGGACCUGGUCUUCAAUCCAGUUGUCUCAGCGGUGAGCGCCAGAGUGGAACCAAUUACGGUGGCGGAGCUGUACACACAGCUCACAAGCUUUGAACAGAGGAUGGAACUUCAUGGUGGAGGUUCCCAAUCGUCGGCCAACAUGGCCGCCAAAGGAGGACGUGGAGGCGGCGGCAACUUCAACAACCCUCGCAACCGCAAUGGCGGCGAUCGCGGGGGCUUCGGACGAGGCGGCAGAGGUGGUCGCGGCAACGGUGGCCGUGGCCCCAAUUUCCAGGAGGGCGUCUUCUGCCAGCUCUGUGGGAAAGAAGGGCACUCCGUCAUUAAGUGCUACAAAUGCUUCGACCCCACGUUCACUGGUCCUCCUCAGAAGAGCGCCGCGGCUGCCACAGCGUCAUACGGCGUGGACACCAAUUGGUACGUAGACUCGGGUGUUACGGACCACGUGACUGGCGAUCUGGAGAAACUCACAGUUCGUGACAAGUAUGGAGGUCAUGACCAGGUUCAUACGGCAAGUGGAAAAGGUAUGGAAAUCCAUCAUGUUGGUUCUAGUAUUUUGCGUACCCAUACUAGCAAAAUUCAUCUCAAUAAUAUUCUGCAUGUUCCACAAGCCACAAAAAGUCUCCUUUCCGUCAAUCGUCUUGCUCGUGAUAACAAUGCCUUCUUAGAAUUUCACCCCGAUCACUUUUUUAUCAAACAACAGGGGACGAGGAGGACUCUCCUUCAAGGCAGAUGUGAAGGAGGCCUCUAUCCUCUCAAGUCGGUCAAGAAUAAGAAUAAGCAAGCUCUCGGCGUUCUCAAGCCCUUCGUGUCUCAAUGGCAUCAUAGAUUAGGUCAUGCAUCUAUUUCAGUAGUCAAGCAGGUCCUUAAUCGCCAUAGACUUCCUUUUGUUAAUGAUUCAAAUAAAGACACUAUUUGUGAUGCAUGUCAAAGGGGCAAAAGCCACCAAUUGCCCUAUAUUCGUUCAACUAGUGAAUCUACUAGUCCUUUGGAACUUAUUUACUCUGAUGUUUGGGGUCCUGCUCCUGCCUCUGUUGGCCGAAAUUGUUACUAUGUGAGUUUCAUAGAUGACUUCAGUAAGUUCACGUGGAUUUAUCUUCUGCGUCACAAAUCUGAGGUCUUCCAAAAAUUUCGUGAUUUCCAGAGCUUGGUUGAACGCCAGUUUAACAAAAAAAUCUUGACCAUGCAAACCGAUUGGGGAGGAGAAUAUCAGUCCCUCAAUUCCUUUUUCAAAUGCACUGGGAUUGCACAUCGUGUGUCAUGCCCACACGCUCAUCAGCAAAACGGGUCGGCCGAACGCAAACAUAGACAUAUCGUUGAGGUCGGACUCACCCUCCUAGCUCAUGCUUCCAUGCCCCUCAAAUUCUGGGAUGAGGCAUUCCUUACAGCUGUGUACCUUAUCAAUCGGCUUCCAUCAAGAGUGAUCUCAAAUGAGACACCUCAUGCUCGUCUUCUUGGGACUCAGCCAGAUUAUACCUACAUCCGUACCUUUGGUUGUGCCUGUUGGCCCAACUUGAGACCAUACAAUGAUCGUAAACUCCAAUUUAGGUCUAAGCGCUGUGUCUUUCUUGGCUACAGUAACAUGCACAAGGGAUUUAAGUGCCUUGAUCCCUCUGUAGGCAGAGUCUAUAUCUCCAGAGAUGUGGUUUUUGAUGAGCAUGUUUUCCCCUUUGCUGAGAUGCAUCCGAACGCUGGUGCACGGCUUCGCACCGAACUAUCUCUCCUCCCAGACGUUUUACUCAAUCCCACCGCUGGUUUUGGGGACGCACAGAUACGUGACCAAUGUGAUAUUUCCAUAUCUACUAAUGAUGCUCCACAGUUUGGAGAAAUUUUGGCUGGAAUAGGUGAAGAAGACAGGAGAACUGGGCUUCAAAACGCUGAAGUGCAGCGUCAUUUCAUGUGUCCCAGCAGAGGGGGCACAGGCGCGGAGCACAGAGCAGAUCCGUCUGCAGCAACGACGGCUGAUUCGAUCGGGUCAUCCGCGGGAUCAGUUCCUGAUGCAGACGGGCAGCUGGGUGGACAGGCAGGUGGAUCCUCUACGCCCGAUCACGCCACGGCUCCAUCUUCUGCAGACGCAGCGCAGCCGCAGCCUGAUCCGAGCGUGGGGGGCACAAACUCAGAGGAGAUCUCCCCGCCCGGAUCGUCUGUGGCGACUGGAUCUGGUGGUAAGCAUGUAGCAUCUGCUCUGCCAGAAGCUCCUACCCGGCCAGUAACUCGUCUUCAGCACGGUAUUCGCAAACCAAAAGUUUAUACUGAUGGUACGGUACAUUGGGGCAUGCAUAGUGCUACUGUUGCAGGUGAACCAAGCACGGUUGAUGAGGCUUUUGGUGACAAGCAGUGGGUCGAGGCAAUGAACAGUGAGUAUGCUGCAUUGUUGAAGAAUCAAACUUGGCACUUGGUACCUUAUCCGAAAGGCAAAAAUAUCAUUGAUUGUAAGUGGGUGUAUAAUGUUAAAAGGAAGGCAGAUGGUACUAUUGAUCGAUAUAAAGCCCGACUUGUGGCAAAGGGAUUUAAACAGAGGUAUGGAAUAGAUUAUGAGGACACCUUCAGUCCUGUGGUAAAAGCAGCAACUAUUCGGCUUAUUCUUUCAAUUGCUGUUUCAAAUGGCUGGUCACUGAGACAGUUAGAUGUUCAAAAUGCUUUCCUUCAUGGCAUUCUAGAGGAAGAAGUGUAUAUGAGGCAACCUCUAGGUUAUGCUGAUCCAUCACGGCCUAACUUUGUGUGCAAGUUGGACAAGGCAUUGUAUGGGCUCAAGCAAGCACCCCGAGCAUGGUAUGCACGGCUAUGUCACAAACUUCAAUCAAUUGGCUUUAUACCAUCCAAAGCCGACACCUCACUUUUUUACUAUAAUCGUGGCAAGUACAGAAUGUUCAUUCUAGUUUAUGUAGAUGACAUCAUUGUAGCAAGCUCUUCCAUGGAAGCGACUAAAGCACUGCUUAAAGAUCUCGAGAAAGAUUUUGCCCUGAAGGAUCUGGGGGAGUUGCAUUAUUUCCUUGGGAUUGAGGUCAAGAAGAGAGAAAAUGGCCUUGUGAUGUCUCAAAGUCGCUAUGCUGAGCAGAUAAUUCGAAGGGCCGGCAUGCAUCUGUCAAAAUCAGUGAGCACACCUCUGUCCAGUGUUGAUAAGUUGAGUGCCAUGGACGGGGAUAGGCUGGGACCACAGGAUGCGACCAACUACAGAAGUGUUGUGGGGGCAAUGCAAUAUUUGACUCUGACUAGACCUGAUAUUUCAUUUGCGGUCAACAAGGUUUGUCAGUUCCUUCAUGCACCCACAAGUGUUCAUUGGUCAGCAGUUAAACGCAUACUACGUUUUGUCCAUGGAACUCUAACGCUUGGGUUGAGUAUUCGGAAGUCAGACUCAACAUUGGUAAGCUCUUUCUCAGAUGUAGACUGGGCUGGAUGUGUGGAUGAUAGGCGUUCAACAGGUGGAUUUGCAGUCUUUCUGGGGUCCAAUCUCAUCUCAUGGAGCGCAAGAAAACAGGCCACAGUCUCAAGGUCAAGUACUGAGGCAGAGUAUAAAGCACUUGCUAAUGCAACGACAGAGAUGAUGUGGGUUCAGAAACUUUUGACUGAGUUGGGAAUUCGACAUCCACCUGCAGCUCGUCUCUGGUGUGAUAACAUUCACUACAAGGAAUGGUGCUUUACAUGACGAUCACUUUGGUCAUAGACAGUCAAAAAUACGUCACAGUUAACUUGCCAUGACGAUCGAAAAAUCUGUCAUGUAUCUCACGUCAUACAUUUGCUGGAUCUAAUUGAGCCGUCAUAGAUUAGGAUAUGUGAUCGUCAUGGGUUAGUUGUCUAUCUUCUAUAACCAGCCCAGAUCCAAAGCAUAGUGAUGAAAAGAACAUCAAAAAUAAGUGCCAAAUCAUCACUUCAUCAACAUGCAUCACAACUCGUAAGAUUCACCAAACAAUAAUUCAUUCAUGUACUAGCAUGUCCACAACAGCCACAUUGAACAUCAAGCCACAGAUUGGCCUAGCUCACAACCAUUAGAGUGACCAUCACAAUAUCUAAGUUUGAACUAAAAGAUUUGAUAUCUAGGGAGUCUAAACAACUAAACAUUAGUAUUCACGAGCACUUCAAUUCACUUGCUGUCCAUAAGAUGUGCUACCUGAAAAUCAAAACAAAUAUAAGUCAGAUUUGCUAACAAAGAUUCUAAAAAGAAAUGUCAUCUAUUUAUUAGGAAGCUUUGAAACUAGUUAACAAAUUCAAUACAUAUGCUAGUCCAAAAUUCUGAAAACAGAUAACAAGUAAACAACCAACACUUUUGGCACCAAUGCAUAGUUUCAGAGUUCCAUACAGCAAGAUAAUCACAUCAUAUAAUGCUAUAAGAAUUAAUUUCAACCUUUUGUUCUAGAUCAGUAGUAACAGCAGCAGCAGACAAGAAGCACUUACUUGAAGCAAAAUCAUGGGACAGAAUUGUUUUGGAGUGUCAUGAUAGUUUCUGCAUUGGACUAUGUUUACCUAUAUACAAAUAAUAGAUAUGAAGAUUGUAUACUAUAUCGAAUAGAUGUGCCAAAUAAUAAAUUAUAGCACAUACCUUUGUUUAUUUAUCAAAGUAUUGUCCAAGCAGCCACUCGUCAAACAAAGUCACAUGCAAUUCAGUUACAAGAACUCAAAUUCAGUAACUUCAGUGUUACAAAAGUUCCAGAAAUCCGUUGAGCACAAAUCAGUAAGCAUUUCAGUUAAAUCAACCAUAAGUGCAUCAUAUCCCAGUGCGUUGAGAGCAGCAGCAUGUAGUACAUCUAGGAACUGAUGCAAUUUAGAUGAAGAAAUCCGGCUUUUAGUUUCAGAAACUACUAUACUCACAUAUAGAAAAUGGAGGAGCAGCAGGACUGGCGGCUCCUCCUUGCUUGGGGAGUUGUACGACAUGGCACGCGCAGCAGCCGGGGACCUACGUCCUUGGAGAUGAAAUCUGGAGGAAGGCCCGGAUGCCUCGGCGUCGCCACAGAGCAGCAUAACGAGGAGUAAUUAGUGUAGAACUGCAUCUGGGGCAGAUGGGGAAGAGGAUGGUUACCAGGAAGUAGAUGGGGCACUCGUCGAGGUCGGCGCGCGCGUCGUCGGCGCCCCGGUGGAAGGGCGUGAGCUUGGCAUCAAGGAUGAGGCGGCGGAGCUUCCUGAGGUUCCCAUGGCAUGGAUCUGGCUGGGGGAGAAGGGCGCGGCCACCACGUCGUGGAUCUGGCUGGAGAAGAAGAAGGGAGGUUCCCAUGGCAUGGAUCUGGCCGGAGGAGAAGGGUGCGGCCUCCUCGUCGUGGAUUUGACUGGAAGAGAAGAACGGCGGCCACCCACAUGGAGUCGACAUGGGAAGGACCAAAGGAGAGACCGUGAGAGGAUAAGGGAGGGGAUAGGAAGGAGCCGACGCUCAGUUUUCUUAUUCUAUUUUUUCUCACGUAAUAGUAACAUAUAAUCUGUCAUAGAUUAGGGACUUCCAUGAUGAUUUUUUAGAACGUCACCAAAAUUCGUCAUGUAUAGUCACAUUUGUUGUAGUGAUUGGAGCAACUUAUCUGUCUGCUAAUCCUGUUUUUCAUGCCAGGACUAAACAUAUUGAGAUCGACUUUCAUUUUGUUAGAGAAAGAGUUGCACAGAAGCUGUUACAAAUCAGGUUCAUUGCAUCAAAGGACCAGCUUGCAGAUGGUUUCACAAAACCUGUGACAACAACGCAAUUGGCGCGAUUUCGGAGCAAUCUCAAUCUAGUGGCCGGUUGAGAUUGAGCGGGGGUGUUAAACGGUAUUGCGUCCAGGUGCAGGAUAGCGCAGAUGCUAUUCUUGUAAUCCAAGUCAUGCGUGUGCGUGAGUCUUGGAAGAUAGAUAGGUUAGUUGAGGGUUUGUAGAUAUUCUUGUUGUAACAAACUUAUUGUUGUAAGCCACGCCGGUGGGCUGUUCCUGGCUUCUAUAUAACACGUAACCGAGACCCUGGGAGGGCAACUCGUUCAAUCAAUCUUCACACUAACCUUACACUAGCUUUAGUGCCAUAGUUAAAUUCACAGGAUCAUAAGGUCUAGAACUAGGACACAAGAACAAUAGAACUUGCAUGAAUGAACAAGUGGUAAUCAUACCUUCGUUUGACAGACGAUACACUAUAACUUUCUUUGAAUGGCAAAGCACAGCAGCAGGGCCUGCACACUGAAAUUUAGGACACAACCAGUUAGGCAUUUUCACAUCUAGCUGCUUAUGAUCAAUCCAACACUGCCCAAUGUUUUUUUGGGGGCAAAUUCCAUAGUCCAGCCGUCCCUGACCCCGACAUUGUUAGUUGGAGCUCUCCUGGGGGAGCUCCGGUGAUUAGUUUUCUCCAAAAUUAGUUUUCAGGGUUAUUUUUUUAGGGAGCUCUUAGAGUUGCUCAGUUGGUUCAACUAACUAAUGACAUGAUGAGCUUAAAUUAUUUUUGCAUGCAAAGAUUAGGGAGCUGCUGUGGAGAAAACUAAUUUUAGAGGAACAUUACUGAACACAGGCAACUAACAAUGUGGAGAAAAAUAACCCUAAUUGCUGGUCCUCAUGUGGAGAAUGGAGAGAGUGCACUAUUUUGGAAUGAUACUUGAAAUAAUCAAUUCCUGGCUUCUUUAGCUCCUGAACUUUUCUCUUUUGCAAAGAAUAAGCUGAUUUCAGUACAAAAAGCAUUCAGUCAGGAGGAAUUUUCAGAAUUAUUUCAGUUACCAGUGUCCCAACCUGUCGUUUCUGCAAAUGCAGGACAUUCAACAAUUGAUUGAAAAUAUGCCUCUUAGUGCUAACAAUGACAGCUGGUUCUAUUCCUAGGGAUCCAUCAUUUUUUGCUUCGACAAAGGUUUACAAAGUGCUAGCUGGACAUUCAGAGAUUCAGCCCACCUUCAAAUGGCUAUGGUAGGGAAAAUGUUAGCCUAAACAUAAAGUCUUCUUUUGGCUUCUAAUCAAUGACAGGCUUAGCACUAGAAACAUCCUGAGAAGAAGAAACAUGCUUCUGGACUCUUAAAGUGUUGUCUUGUGCAAUCACUUGGUUGAAAAAUCAGUUGAUCAUCUCUUUGUGGAAUAUCCAUUUGCAAGGAUUUGUUGGGAUAUAGUAAGCAUUGACAUUCCUGUGGGCAGAAGCUUCCCAGAGCUUACUACUCAGCUGAAGAUUCAGCUUAACUCCUAGUUUUCCAUGGAAGCCAUAAUCAUUAUGUGUUGGACUAUCUGGACAGCAAGAAAUGACCUUAUCUUCUAAGGAAUCAGUUUAAACCUGUCAGCAUGCUGACGUGUUUUCUUCAUAGAGCUCAUGCUCCUCCUUCAGCAUAGAGUGAAGACAGGACAUGAAGAACACCUAAUUACAUGGAUCUAAAGUCUGGAAUAGAACUGCUUCUGUUGUUGAUUUUCUUUUUGUCUUUCUUGUCUCUUGGAUAGCUCCCUGUUUAGCCCCCCCCCCUUUUCUCCCUGUUCUUUGUUGCUAUUUUUUCCUUUUUCGUUUACUUGUACUCUUGUUUAGACUCUAUCAUUUUUUUAUUCAAUAAAUUUCUGUAGGGGCCUUGGGAGCUGUUAGACCAAUGUUUUAACGCCGGUAACAACACAAAUAUCAGUUUUGUAGUGUUAUUAGUCUUCUGUUGAAGAUGCUCAAUAACAGGUCGCCUCGCUUUGCUUGGCUAGUAACCGUAGUAACCGCAAAUUUGUUCUGCAGUGAUCGAUUUUUUUCAAAGUUGUUCAUGGUCCUGCGUUCUACACAGAUCCCUCCACGUUCUUCCAUGUUAGCCACUGAACGGCUGGUACACCUUGAGCGCAUCCACGACGUCGGCGAUGGAACCGGCGGCGGCGGCAAUGGAGACGAGGAGGCAGGUGAAGCUGAGCGUCUGGAGGCUGAUCCACCUGGGGCUUCCACGAGGCACACGACGUUGCUUGAUGUACAUCUCGACGGGGAAGUAGACGGUGAGCGGCCAGAACGAGACGGCGCCGAGGAGCCCCGCCACGUCGCCGAAGAACGGCAGCAGCAUGGCCACGACGGUGGUGACGCACACGAACGCCGACCGCCAUGUCAGGCGGAAAAGGCUCAGGGCGAAGGGACCGACACGGAGCUCCCGGGAGAUGAAGGCGCUGUCCGGCCACGCCGCGGCGGCGCGGCGCUCGACGAAGGCGAAGAUGGGCUGGCAGAACACCUGGUACGCGCCGACGAGGUGCACGACGAUGGCGACGUUGGCGACGUCGAGCAGCCAGAAGGGCUCGUAGAAGCCGAAGCCGGUGAGCAGGUUAUCCGGCGCGUUGUCACCGAAAGCCGCGUACCCCAUGCAGCCGCACAGCAUGUAGAAGAUGGUCGUCGUCGCCACGCUGAGACGCGUCGCCUUCUGCAUCACCUUCGACUCCGACGGUGGUGGCGCCUUGAUCGUGUCCUGAUCAAGAACCAGAGCAGCAGCAUCCUUGGUCAGAAACAGGGGAAUCGAGUUGCAGAGAAUAGAACAGUAGUGCAUGCUUACUUGGAUCUCGAUGAGGAUGUUGGAGAAGGAGUAGGCGAAGGCGAUGUCGCCGAAUGCCUGCAGGGUGUGCCAGAUCUUCUGCGUCGAGGUGACGCCGGCGCCGAAGCCGAUGCUGGUGAGAGUGCCCUUGAACCCACCGUUGGCUGAAAUAGUUCAUUCAAUCGAGUCAGAAGGAACAGUAAGUAACUAAGAAUCUAUCAAUCGAAGUCACUGCAUGCAUGAGUGUCUGAACAAUCCGAAAAUCGGAAUAUCCGAUUGAAGAAGCAACAACUUACAGACGGUCUGUGCGAUUCCGAGGGACAGUCCGAUAGAAGAAUAGGUGAAGGACAUGACUGCAGCGACAAUGGAGAGCCACCAAAUCUCAUCGAAGUCCGGUAUCUGCGAGAAGAGGAUCUGCACAACGCCGAAGAGGAUCAUGUACGGGGUGCUGGAGCUCUUGCAGGGAUCCCCAUGACCGUGGGUGUGGAAGCACCCAGCUCUCCUGAUGGCCUUCAUGCUGAUGGACGACGCGAUGGUGUAGCCAAUGGCGACGCCGACGAGGUUGGCGUACUGGAUGACGCCGCAGAACACGACCUUUUUGCCGCCGAGGUUGGAGCGCACGGCGUCCAUGUACGUGUAGUUGCGCUUGCCGGUGUCGGGGUCGCCGGUCCGGUAGCACUCGGCGAGUAGGGUGGCGGUGUAGUAGGUGACGAAGGCGAAGAGGAGCAUGGCGGUAGGGCCGGCAAC